rnacentral:lncRNA from 1 species
GAGCGCGUAACAAUGAUGAGUUUCCUUGGGAUGAAGCUUGGUUGGAGCAAAGCAUCACCUAUUGGAAGAUGUACACCCUGGGUGGGUUGUGUUAAGGAGAAGGCAUUGCUAUUGACAUAAUGAGAGGAUUCUUUAUGAAAUGAGUAGGCCUCUCGGCGGCAUGUUGCAACAAUAGCCACUGACGGCAGGCCAAUCAGAUCGUCAGAUGGCGCUCUGUUGGGUGGUUCAGAUUACAGUAGAAAAAGGCUGCCCCAGGUCCUCAGUAUUCUGCAAUUGUGCAGGACGCAUUUGGGCUGUUGAUAUAACCAGACUUCAACAAGGCUGCAGCUGGAUGGUCUCUUUCUGGGAUUGCAAUACUAACAGGAUACCAUCUUUCUCAUAGAUAUAAAUACAUGCGCAUGGGCAUUUCCAUUUUGAGACAUGCCAGGAGAGAUAAAUCUCACUGGCCCUAGAGCAGGUUAGGUGUCAAGCUUUGCCGCGAGAUUGCUGCUAGCUGCAAACGUGCGCUGCUUGAUAUGCCCCUGUAGGAUCAGUAUUGCUAACGUAGGCAGGGCUUCUGUAACAUAUGACAUAAGCUCCCUCUGUGUACAAAGUCCACAUCUAGAAAAGAAAAUCAUUUUUUUAUUCAGCUGCCUUGUUGUCUGUCAACUGUUGUUAGUUCGGGACUGUUGAAUGAUGUUUUAUGUUGUUGGAAGAUGGUAUCAUGUUUCAGUUAUGGUCUUACCUGAUAUUGCACCUUGUUGAUUAUUGUACUUCUAUGUUGAUCUGUGGUAUAGCUUGUGCUCUUUGAACUGGUAUGUGGUAUAGCAUGGUGUUUUGUUGGCAUUGUUAUAUUGAUUGAUGUAAAAUUCCAACCGGGGCGACGCUGUACUUGCUCCGAGUUUGUGGAAGCCCUGUUUGCAUCCUUCUGUUUUUUUGUCUGAUAUCUGGGGUCCCCUGUUAGCAUAAGCCAGCCCUUGUUAUUUUUGCUGGUUCUCAAUUUUACAGGCAUGUACUGAUAUGGUUCUUGUUCUCUAUGCAGGGUAUACCUGAUGGUGUUUCAUAAUCUGUCAGACGAGUGAGGACACAUCUUAGCUUGGAAUGCUGCUGGUUCGGUGGUGGUCCUCUGAGAUGUCAGGUUAGCAUAAGCUAGCCCUUAAUUCUUUUUUGUCUGAAUCAGAUUUGCUUGUGCAGGCCCGUGUUGUACUGUACUGAUCUUGGUCUUGUUCUGUGCAGGCUACACCUCUUUUUUUAAAAACAAAUAACUAUAUUCAUUUGCUAUAACAAUUACAUCGUUUAUGAGAUUGAUACAAUUUCACUCAACGGCUCCUCAAACCAGUCAACAGUAGAAGAAAAUUUAGCUAUCUUGGCAAGUUCAUGAGCAACCUCAUUUGCUUCCCUAUUACAAUGUUCGAACCUAGUAAUGGAAAAACCACAAGCCAAAAAAUAGCAAUCGUCAAACACUGCCACCGCUGUACUUGCCGUCCUUCCGUCCUUCCUCCGUUAUUCAUGGUUUCAAUGACCUCCAAAUUAUCUGAAUUAAUAACGAGGCGAUUGCAUCCUGCCCUUUUAGCAAUUGAUAGUCCAUACCUAAGCGCCAAAGGUUCAGCCAUUAGGACAUCCGUGCACCAAUCAAUUCUUCAGUUCCCCUCUGCAAUAAAUUUUUCUUUAUCAUCCCUCAACACAGUACCCGCCGUGCCCCUAAGCAGGUCAUGAUCAAAAGAUGCAUCCACAUUAAGUUUACAAACCCCCUUGGAGGUUUGCUCCACCUCCCUCUUUUCAUAAUAGCCUUUGGGGCUAUAGCCAUAGGAUAGUUUAACGUAAUAGCCCGAAUCCCCAUAGAGAUCUGGUUAGCAUCUUGAGCUUUCUCUUUAUGAACCAAUUUUCGUCUCUCCCAUCAUAAAUACCAACAUGUAAUUGCAAUCAUCUCACGAACAUUCGGAAUACUCAGGAUAAUCAACUCCUGCUCAGGCAUAGAAAGUAAGAAUUCGAGAACCGCCUUGCCAGCAUAAUCCACAUCACAUGCCUUUUUUAAUAACCUUAUUCAGUCCCAACAUUCUCCAAACCUCCUUUGCUUUCUGACAUUGAAAUAACAUAUGCUUUGUAUCUUCUAAUCCAAAGGGACAUGCAGGGCAGUUGGAUGGAACUUUUAUAUGUCUAUUCGCCAAAAUAACUCUACAUGGAAGAGUGCCAUGUAGUGUUCGCCAAAUGAAUUUUUUUACCUUUGCUGGGCAAGAUAACUUCUAAAUUUCACUCCAAAUAGGAUUAAUAUUUAGAUGUCCCGUAUCAUCGAUUCUUCUAAGUUUUCUCCCGUGUUGAAUUUCCCAUUCCACAGCAUAUUCUGAUCGAACGGAAAAAAAAAAUUCCAUUCUGUUCUGCAGGCUACACCUUAUGAUGUAUGACAUUCUGUUCUGCAGAAUUUCAGAAUGCUGAGGGCUAUGACUUCGAUCCUGGCUGGGUGCUGCUGGACGGUGGUGGUCGUCGAAGAUCUCAGGUAUAUGCUCAAAAUGUUCUGUUUCUUCUUGGGUUAUCAGAUUUACUGGUUCUCCAUUUAAUUCCUCUUUUCAUUCAGGGUGUUUCCUGUUCUGUUGGGUUUGGUGCUGUUGUACGACACGAAAAGAGUACUUGCCAGCUUGGCCCAGGACGACCUUACGUCCAAGCUGGAGUGCUUUUCUGGUUGAAAACGAACAUGCUGCGAACUGUGAUUAUUUCAAUUCGCAACGUAACACAGACUGAUUAUUUUUUCUGGCGAAAAGGAUCUGAUACAUUAUAAAGAUUCACUCAUCUCAAGCACUUGCCGCUGCUCGAACAAGCUGUUGACGCUCCUAUACCGGGGCUGGCCUGUCCUCUUUGCGCAAGUGCUCAAUGCUGUUAGGAUUUAAUUAUCCUAUUAAUCCCUACCUUUCCUAAUUGAGGUGGUUGCUUACCCUUCAAAGGCUAUAUAUAUAUGUGUGUGUGUGUAAUCCCAUCAUCAAUGAGGACGACUGAUUUGUGUCUCCUGUCUCUCUUGUCUAUUCUAGUAACAUGUUAUCACGUAUGCCUCUACCUAGAGCAUGAGGUCAUGGAAGGAAAAGAAGAGAAGAACGGUGAGACUGGUGCACGUCCGUGGGGCGACGCCCUUUGGUGUUGAUGAUGAACCGGUGGCCCUCGGCCCCUCGAACCAAGCGGCAGACGUGAGCCCGGAUGUGGUGUUCGUCCCCUGCGCCUCCACACGCAUCCAAGACACUCCUCCACGCAACACCAGGUUUUUCCAUCGGCGACGCGACCUGGAGAUGUGGUCUGUGUGCAAACGCGAAAGCCAACCGAAUCGACGGAUUCAUGGUUGUAUGGAGAAUCAGUGGAGAACCGGGCCUUAAAACUUGCCGCAGGGCCGCGCCAUCGCCGCCGUUCGGCGCCCGUCCGCUCGGCCGCCAUCGACCGCCGCGCCGGGACUUGCACCGGCCUGUCAGAUGAGGUCAUCAUAAUCGAGGACGACUAUGAGGCCACGGCUCAACCCCUGCGGUUGUUGAAGGCGAAGCUAGCGAUGUGGUUGUCGACAGAGACAUUGCAGGGCCAUCGCGCCUCCCGUCCCUGACGCCCGCCACUCCACUUGCGCCACGCUCCGGCGCCCGCCGCCGUCUUAUGGCCCUCGGCCUUCUCCUAACGACCUCGCCGUCGUGCAGCCGCUCCGGCCGCACUGGUACAUGGAGCCCCUUGGCGGAGCACACAACAACCUUUGGCGGCUCGUCUUGACGGUGAACGCCGUGGCCGUGGCACCCGCCCGUGCGGCAGUGGCCGCGUCCGUCCGCCCGGCCGUCGCCUGCGCCGUGCCCCGGCGCCAGGCCAUGGCUGCGCUCCCUUCGCUCCGCCCGGCCCGGCCUGCAGUCAUGCCAGGGUAGCGCGACCUCCCGUCUCCAGCACGCAACCGCCUACUCACACCCGUGGCCGCUCCAACUGCCCCGCGCUUGUGGCCGGCGGCGGAGGUGGUUACGAUUUACUCGUAAUCAGCAACUGGACGAGGAGAAAACCUCAUCUCUUCAUCAUUCUGCCCUCCUUGUUCCGCCUAUUUACGGAUUGGACUUUGUAGUUUGCUGUUAAGUCUUCUGACUUAGUUCAGUAUGCAGGGUAAUCCUCUACUGAAAUGUAUUUUACAUUUAAGUCUCCGUAAAUUACAGAUUAGUGAGCAGGUUGUUUGUACAAUGCAAAUUUUUAGUACAAAAUAGUACUAAUUUGCGAUUGAGAUUUUCUUCUCUCGCAAAACAAUCUCAUAGUGAUUGAGUUUAAUUUUCUCUCGCAAAAUAUUAAUUCACCCUGCUGAAUUAUCUUGCAACUUGAUACAAGAUCAUCUCAUUUAAUUUGAGAUCUAUACAAUUCAAGUUUUUUCACUUGAACAUCAAGUUUGUAACAUCAUUACUAUUCAUUAUAAUAAUGGUCUAUUUCUGUUGAGUACGAUGUAUUUUAGAAUGUAUGUAUCUUCAUGUUCGCUACAUGUCGAGAUUAAUACAUCUAUUUGCAAUUGAGAUUUUUAAUUUCUUGCAAAUAAGAAUGCAAAAUUCAAAGUGACUUCUUCAAAUUGAUGUAUUGGGAUCACAAGGUAGUCAUACAGAUCUACCGCCUUCACAAAUUAUCAAUGACUACUACUAAAGCCUAUAUUUUGUCAUUUUGACAUUAUAAUUGCUUUACAAAGUGCUCUCCCACACAUUUUACUAAGUCAUGACAUAAGGCAUUACCAGUGAGUAUCUACUGAUUUCAUCAGAUUAUACUCUCUAGUGCUGCGAGAUCUACUCCAUUUUGGAGAUUAUCUUCAAGGCGUCAUAUCUAGCAAUUUGAGAUUCACACUAAUGGUUUCAAGAUAACUUUUUGAAAUACCCACUGAUUUUGCUAAGUUGAUUACAACAUCAACCAUGAUGGUCUUUAAUUUACUGGUUGUAAAUUAAUUAUCUCUUGUUUACCCAUAGAGGUAAAUAUGGCUAAGACUUUGAGGCAUUCGCCCUCAAUGGCCACCACUACCCUAUCUGGGCCAUGGACACCAUGAUCGCUCUUGUGUCUCAUGGGAUAAUGUGUGCAAUUCUGAAUUCACCUCUGGUCAGGAUCACAUCGCUAACAGAAAAUUGGUGUCUUAUAUAUCAUAAGGCAUUAGAUUCAGAUCUCAGCAUCUGGUUAUUCUCUAUCAGCAGUUCCUGGGAUACAAUGAACCUCAAGGGCAAAGAUGAAUCUUACUUCAACCUUCAAUCCGACAUCACCAGCUAUGGAACCCUAUGGGCACGGAGAAUGUGAUGGUUGAAUAUGCUUCAACCGACAUGUUUGGAGACUAUGAAUAGUCUCUCAAUCUCCUGAGUGGUCAAUAUAAUUUAUGUCCAUUUACGAUGUUGUAACAACAAUAUAAGUAUUGUUGUCAUCAUAUAUUGUAUAUCACAAUAUAUUGUAUCAGCACUUCGAUACAAAUACAUUUGUAUGCAUUCUAUAUAUCUGACAGUGAUUUUCAUAUUGAGAAUCUUCAUGUCUAUAUAUAGAUUUCUACGGGAGUCAAUCCAAUGAAAAAUGAUAUGUGCCUUGUGGACAUAUGCACCACAAACUCUAUAUUCAGGGAAGUUCAAUGUUUCCACUCUCAUUGAGAGAGAGAGGAGAUAUUUUAAAUCGCUAGACGCAAUGAGGUAUUUGUUGGCUCAACUCGGGUCAUAUUUACUAUCCCUGUGGGUACUCAAAUAAUGACGGGAUGCUUUAUUGCUUCCCAGGUUUAACUUGUACCCUACUAAACUAUGGAGGUAUCCGUCAAAAUAGUUUCCAUAACGAAACUUAUGAUGACAACAAAGAGAAAUAACUUCUCUUUACCAUAUGCAACGGAUAUGGCAAGCACAUUCUCUGUGUAUCAUCUGGAUUGUACUACACAUACAACACAACCCGUCGCACAUGUUGCGUACGAGAUAGUUUUCCAAAGUGUCUUGUACAUGACAAACUUGGCAUACUCGCCUUGGUCAUCGAGACAUUGGGUUGAAACCGAAACUAUCAGCAAUUCCAAUAGUUUAUGAUUGUUAUGAUGUUAAAUUCUAACAACAAGUGACCAGGGAAGCUAAUUUUAAGGCUCGCACACCUUAAAGUCUACACUAAACCACUCAGAUUCCUUGAAUGCAUCAAGUUGAGGUAAGUGGCUCUUCCCAUCCAUUGACUAGACUAUUCAGAUAUUCCAUGGUUCUAAAAGACAUAUCUACAUGAUGGUCUUAAGUGUGUGCUUUAUUCAUACGAAACCAUUGGCUCAUUAUCCUAACACCGAUUUCAAGAAAAUCGAAUGGAUCAUUGCAGAAUUCUCCUUGAGUGCCUUCUCUAUGGCCCUUGGAUUGAAGUUUAGCAAUUUGUCCUAAUGUCUAGACUCCAAAUGGUUUGGUAGAAUCCUAUCCAAAGAGUUAAGCUCAUUGCAUUAUCUUUACUUUGGAAUUGCAACUUACCAACUUUACGUUGGAGUCAUGCAAUUUUACACGCUCAUGACAGAAUUGCAUAAUAGUAUUGCCCUCUAUCUUUGAUAUGUGGAUAUCUACCAAGUAUUUCCUAUCUGCGGUAAUUCAGUUGCAUACCAAUAUCACCAUCUGGCAUACAUCAUUAGCCCCUCAACAUAUAGUUGGAAUCUAUGUGAGGAAUAACUGUAUUUCCAUCAAUACCUCGAGCCCCUCACAUGGGGAGUUAUUCAAGGCCAGUAUGCUGAUUCAUGAGGAAUAUUUCCAGGCAUUAAGGGGAGAUUUCAAGUACCAUAAAGAAUGCCAGGAAAUUAGUGAAAUGUUCAACAUAUUUCUGCCUCAAUUCCAUGUAAUCAAAGAUUUGAACCAUGCAUUCAGAAGAUUUGUAACUCAUUGCAAAUAACCUGUCACAUUCAUUUACUGACUAUAAAGGUGUCAAACAAUCCUACAAUCCUAAAAAAUAUGUCGGAAAGAGUGGAUGUACCAACCAAAACCACUCAACUCCUCGUUCAAAGCAACAAGGGGAGAAGUACGACAAUAGUACAUCAGGAUUCAGCUUCUUGCAAGCAAGGAUAUCAAGGCCUCUGAAUCAGUAAAUGCAGGUCAACUUCACGUCGACAGACACCUAAUGGGUAGCAUACCCAGUGGACGGGAAACGUCCACCAACCCAGGUCAUAGUGCACACAAUGACCGGGACAUCGGGAUACCCGACUCAGCCGCAUUGGGAAAUCGCGAGCAGUCACCAUGGGUAACGAUAUUUGCAUCAAUUCUAUAUGGAUAUAUAGAUUCUGGAGAAACAUAUAACCGGGAGUCUACAAUUGUUGACAUAUAUUUCUCAACUAGAUUGCAAAAACCUUUCAAAUGAUUCAGAUCCAAAGACCAUGGCCAUGCCAAAGUGUGAAUAGCACUCGGACUGAACUCAAGCAAAGGGUAUAAUCUAGGUAGAAAUAAUCUUCCUCAAUAAUGGGAAGGUAUUCAUAAGAAAUACCUACACCAAUUUUCUUCUGGAAAUAGGAUAGCAGAAGGGUUCACGCAGAUACCCAACUAUUCUCCAGAGGUGGAAUCUCUUUCCGAUAACUUAUAUCAUUGGCAGUACAAAAUCAUCUAUCUCUGCAGUUGAUAGAUGCAGUAAUUACAUAUCCAUGUGGAUCACUAGAUUCGGACAUAUAUGAUUGAUUCCCGAUGGAAUCUCAAUUCUAAAUCGAAAUACAAAAUGCAACAUACAUUGUGUAAAAUCAGUAAGUCACCAUACGGCUUAUUGUUGUCGGUACAUAUGGUACAACUGACGUAGUGAGAUCCUUAUACACAAGGAUUACUCCUACAAUGAUGAUUAUCCAUGUUUUUGUGUCUGCAAUGACGACACGUGUAAUCAUCUAAAUGACGGAGUUUAAAAUGAAGGUUUUGGGUAAACCAAAAUACCGCUCGUUACGACAAAUUGAGCACCUUCAUUCAUACAUUAUGGUAUACUAUGUUGUCUAUAUCCAUAAUAUAUUGGAGAAAUUCAUUGUGGACAAAUCUUAUCCAUCCAUAACUCUCAUGGUAGUUCAUUCUCUGGACGUAGAGAAAGAUCUAUUUAGACCAAGAGAUGAUGGAAAUGAGAUAUUGGGAUCCAACGUUCCAUAAUGCCAUUGGAUCCACCAAACACAAUUGGUUGGUACUCAAGAAUAUCUUUCGAUAUCUCCAAGGCAUCAAACAUCUUGUCCUGGUUUUUCAGUUUCACAGAAAAUGUGAACACCGAUAUCAUUGGAUACAUCAUCAGAUCCCUACUAUGUCAGAUUGUAGACAACCUUAGUGUUCCUACUAGGCAUGGUAGCCCUCUCAUGAAGAGUCUUCGAAACAGACCUCAUGGCUACAUCCACCAACCAUUAUCUCAACGAUAAUGUUUCUUGUGUUGCCUGGAUGCAAACAAGUUACAUAAUAAGCAACAUCACUAUAUUGCAUAUCUUGCAAGUCAAAUCAUGCGACUGAUUUGUUCACUAGGUCUCUACCAACUUCUAUGUUCAGAAGUGUGUUCAUGGAAUUGGUAUAUGACAACUUGGGAAUAUGCAAGAACCAGGGGGAGUAUCUUCCUGAAUUGUUCUUGUUAAAAGCAUCAUAUUAUACUCUUUUUCCCUUCAUGAGUUUACUUUAUAGGUUCUCAUAAAGGUUUUUUAACGAGGUAAUAUCAAUACAAGACCAUAUGUCAUAUUUUCUGUUUUUCCCACCGGCUUUUCUAAGAAAGUAUAUGUGACAUAUUUAUUGUCCUCUAAACUUUAUGAGUUUUCUCGUAUUGAGUUAAAAGAGACAAUAACCAUUAUAUGUUGUAUCAUUUUCUCCUUAUUUUCCCACCGGGUUUGAAGGAGUUUUAGCAACAUAUCAAACACCUAUCUCCUCAUAUUUUCCCCACAUGGUUUUUGGAGGAGCUUUUUCAAGAUGAUGAUACUUACACUAACAAGCAUGGAUUAGGGGGAGUGUUAGGAUUUAAUUAAAUCCUAUUAAUCCCUACUUCUCCUAAAUGAGGCGGUUGCCUCGUGUCCCUUCGGACACACCCUUCAAGGGCCAUAUAUAUGUGUAAUCCCAUCAUCAAUGAGGACGUCUAAUUCACUUUACUUUUGUGUCUUCCCGUCUCUCUCGUCUAUUCUAACAAAUGCGAGCUGUUGUAGCCGACGUUGAAUCGAUCUGAAAUACCCGUCACCAAAUAUUGUCGUACCCAAUGGCAAGCGAGAAUGUUAGCAACCCAGUGCUCAAUCCACUCAAACUACUAUGAAUUGCAAAUCAUGGAGGUUGGUCAAGAACUACAUGAACUAGAAUGUGGAGAAGGAAGAAGAGGAGCCAGUCAAGUUGCUCGUGGAGGACCCCAUGUAGUGCCUCUCCUUUGUGGGCUGGGUAGCGCCUAAGAGCCCAAGGAGGGCCAGGUCGCUGACAAUCCCUCCCCAAUAAGAUUCGACUUGCCCCCACGUCGAUGUCUAGUAGCGCCACCGGGGUCCCAUGGAGUUGGUAGCAUACUUGUCGUGGAAUUGUCAUGACAGAUGCCCUAGCAAGAGGACUUAGGUGUGGAGCCAUCGCAACAUAGUUAGCUUGAAGGGGUUAAAUGGGACAAGGGACAUAGAGAGUUUUUUCCCAGGUUCGGCCCCUCGCAACGAGGUAAAGGCCUACUCCUGCUUUAGGUUGUAUUGCUUGGGUUUCGAUUACCAGGGAGCGAAUACGCUUGACCUAGUUCUCGACUUGUUGUUUCUUGCCCUAACCCACCGCUGGGUCACCCCUUUAUAUACACAGGCUGAUGCCCGGCGGCUUACAGAGUCCCGGCCGGCUAAUACACAACGUGUCCGGCUCGGUGACAAAACUAAACUUUCCUUAACAUACAAGUUAGACAUAUGGUGGUUUAUGCCCGUGGGCCUCAAGUCUCCUCCGGGUCUUGGGCCUUCAGUAAACUUGCGUCAUGAACCGCCAUCUUCAACAUCUUCUUGGGCCUUCUCAUUAUGAACCGCCAGUGGUAUGACCCGGCCCCUCCUGGGCGGGUCAUACCCAAUAGUUAUAUCCCCAACAUUAGGCCCCAGGUUGAUGUGAACUUGCUCAUAUCAAUCUUCAAUACUUGACUUAGAAAAAAAUCCUUCAUCGUCAGUCCUUAUGAAAUCUUAUGACCCGCCAUGACGUCAGCUCUCAGAAUUAUGCUAACCCGCCAUGACAUCAUCUCGUAUUAAUAUCACACGAGGCCCAAAUCUUAAUAUACCUUCACUUUUAAUGGCCCUCCAAAAAUCAAGGCAUUUGUGCUGUCACAUAAUCAUUUUUCAGCCUCCUCGAUUCCCGGGCAUGCCAUAUAUCCACUGCCUUAUAAAUAGGGACAUGGGUCCUUUUCAUUUCCCCCUGGCCUCCUCGUCUUCGUCCUCUUCCUCGCAACGCCUCAAGCGCCCGAGCUCCACCAUCGCCGUCGACCUUCGUUCGCUGCACCAACUCUGGCCGCUGCAUCACCUUGAACGGACCAGAGCACCACCGCGCGCCUCCGCUGUUCAACAACCCCGGUAAGUUCUCCUCUUUUCCUCACCAUAGAUCUUCAUUAGGGUUUGUUCGAGUUCAUCGGAGUUCAUCUUCGUUCCUCUCUGUUCCUUCCUAUAUCUGGUAGUUUCGAUCUAAGCAUAGUACCAACCUUGCACGGUAGCAUUUUAGCACUCGUUUUUGAUAUUUGAACGCCUCCCCUCUGUAGGAGAUCUCAUCUGAGCACGUGAACUGUUCUACUGCCGCCACUUAGGUUUAGAAUUUUUCUUCAUUAUCUGACCUGUUGUAGAUCCAAAAUUAUAACACCGAUCUGUGAAAACUGUUUGUCCAACACUUAGCAAUCCUUCACUCAUCGAUCUGAAAACUGAUAACUGUGUGGGCGGCUUAACUGAUAAACCAUAACCCGACUUGUACCAUUAGUCCCCUCUGAAGCUGCCAGUAGAUUGCUCUGCAUAAUCCAACACAUUAUCCUCCAGCUUAACACACUGCAUGUUUAUAGUUCUUACCUUUGAACCAAUGUCCGGCUUAACAACAUAAUCUUAAACCGCAAUAUUUUCUUUUCAGACCAUCACCAACAAUGAUUAAGACCUUCACCUCAUGCAACUAGGUAGCAUCCCGGGUUACCGAGGAAGACCUGAACAAUUUUGUUCAGAUUGGCGUCUUAUCCAAAAAAAUGACAUCCACUGGAGGGUCCCAGACACUGAAAAUCCUCCUGAGCCCAAGGAAGGAGAAGUAAUCGUUUUCACUGACCAUAUGACCCGGGAUUUACCCCGCCCGGUUCAAAAUUCUUCCGAGAUGUGUUACACUUUUUCUAGCUUCAUCCUCAAGAUAUCGGGCCCAAUUCUGUCUCCAAUAUUUGCAACUUCAAAGUUUUUUUGUGAAGCUUAUCUUCAAGAAGAGCCCACUGUCGAACUGCUCAAGGAGUUCUAUUACUUGAACCAACAGAUGGAAUUCACAGAUGGGCCCAACUUAGAGCUAGGCGGAGUUUCAAUCCAGAAGCGGAAGGAGGCCACCUUCCCAUAUGCCAAGCCGCCCAGUCAUCCUAAGGACUUGUAACGCCUUCGAUUCAAUCGUACACUAAUCAUACAUGCAAAUGUGUAUGAUCAAGAUCAAGGACUCACGAGAAGAUAUCACAACACAACUCUAGACACAAAUUAAAAUAAUACAAGCUUUAUAUUAUAAGCCAGGGGCCUCAAGGGCUUGAAUACAUCAGCUUGAAUACAAACGAGUCAGCGGAAGCAACAAUAUCUGAGUACAGACAUAAGUUAAACAAGUUUGCCUUAAGAAGGCUAGCACAAAAGCAACAUCGAUCGAAAAGGCAAGGCCUCCUGCCUGGGAGCCUCCUAACUACUCCUGGUCGUCAGCGGUCUCCACGUAGUAGUAGGCACCGGCGGUGGCAUUUGGCUCCUGGGCUCCGACAUCUGGUUGCAAUAAGCAGAAAGAAGAAAGAAGGGGGGAAAGGGGGAGCAAAGCAACCGUGAGUACUCAUCCAAAGUACUCGCAAGCAAGGAUCUACACUACAUAUGCAACAUUAUCAAAGGAAGGCUGUAUAUGUGGACUGGGCUGCAGAAAUGCCAGAAUAGAGAGAAGGCAUAGUCCUAUCAUAGACUAGCAUCUUCUGAAAACCACCAUCUUGCAGCAAACAGGAGGGAGUAGAGUAGCAUAAAGUAAAGUAGUAGUAAUGUUAUCAACCUCGACCAGAGAUCCUUUCUUGACUCCCUGCGAGAAAGCAAUCCCAGAGCCAUACUAUCCAAUUGUCAUCACAAUCCAAUUCUCGUCACCAUCCAAUUCUCAUCACAAGUAUCCAGUUCUAGUUGUAUCGAUGAACUCCGAGUGUCCGUUACCGUAGGACAGGCUAUCGAUAGAUGUUUUCUUCCCUAUAGGGGUGCACUAACUUACCCACCAUGCUCGUUUAACUUCGGCCGGACACACUUUCCUGGGUCAUGCCCGACCUCGGCCAAACAAUACGCCGCAACCCGACCUAGGCUUAAUAGAGAGGUCAGCACGCCGGACUAAACCUAUGCCCCCAGGGGUCAUGGGCCAUCUCCCCGGGAACUCCUGCAUGUUGCGAACGCGGCCAGUGAGCAGACCUAGCUACCUCCUUAAAAAAUUCAGGUGCUUACCAGUCCAACCUGGCGCGCGCCGCUCAGUCGCUAAUGUCUAUUAAGCUUCGGCUGAUGUAUACGAUGCAGAACGCCCAUACUAUGCCCACGUGAUGGUUAGUGCUGUCAGGCCAGAGGCCCCUCGGAUCAAAUAUCCAAAUUGUAGUGGAUUAGGAACGCGUGGUAACAAACAGAGACUCACGAAAAAUGUGGCCCCAAUGCCCCGUCUCGAGGACUUGCGGCAAGGGCUAAGAAUGCCCGGCCACGCCUCGUAAUUAUCUCGUCGGCACCUUCCAGGUCAACCCGACUCCACAUCACUCGCAAUUAUGCUCGCGCGGGUACCCCUCCGGGUCGACCCGUCUUUAGUAACAUGGUUCAAUGUAAAGUCAUAGUAAUCAUAGUAACUGUGUGUCUAAACAUCAAGGGGAAAACCCGAGGAAUCACCCCCGGUGAAUUCCACUCGAUGUAAUCAUCAAGGUGAACGUAAGAGGAAUCACCCCGAGGUUCACACUUGAGGGGUUGCACGACAGAGUCGUAUCAGAAGUGGUUAAGGCGGAAUCACCCUCGAUGACCAUGACCGAAUAGCUACACUACAGGGUUAACAUCAGAAGUGCUAUAGAGGUCUCACCCUCGGCACUCGAUAGCAACCCGGCAGUGUCGAGCAACUAAGGAGAAAGUGAUGUGCGGUGCCGGGGCCUGGUCUUCGAUCCCGUUGAUCGGGUCUUUGAUGAUGAAGCAGGGGCAACAAGCACAAGGUGGGGGUCAUUGAUGGAUCACUAACCAACCUAUACUAAGCAGUUUAGGAUAAGCAGGUAAGGUAACAAUAAGCAGGAUACAAAAGCAGGCUAUGCAUCAGAAUAGGAGCAAACAAUAACAAUAGCAAAAUCUAAUGCAAGCAUGAGAGAAUGGAAUGGGAGAUUGUGACGCCCCCGAUUUAAUCGUACACUAAUCAUGCACGCAAAUGUGUACGAUCAAGAUCAGGGACUCACGGGAAGAUAUCACAACACAACUCUAAAACAUAAAUAAGUCAUACAAGCAUCAUAAUACAAGCCAGGGGCCUCGAGGGCUCGAAUACAAGUGCUCGAUCAUAGACGAGUCAGCGGAAGCAACAAUAUCUGAGUACAGACAUAAGUUAAACAAGUUGCCAUAAGAUGGCUAGCACAAACUGGGAUACAGAUCGAAAGAGGCGCAGGCCUCCUGCCUGGGAUCCUCCUAACUACUCCUGGUCAUCGUUGUCAGCCUGCACGUAGUAGUAGGCACCUCCAAUGUAGUAGUCGUCGUCGACGCUGGCUCCUGGCUCCUGGACUCCAGCAUCUGGUUGCGACAACCAGAAAGAAAGGAAAGGGGAAAAAAGGGGGGAGAAAGCAACCGUGAGUACUCAUCCAAAGUACUCGCAAGCAAGGAGCUACACUAACAAAUGCAUGGGUAUAUGUGUAAAGAGGCCAUAUCAGUGGACUGAACUGCAGAAUGCCAGAAUAAGAGGGGGAUAGCUAAUCCUGUCGAAGACUACGCUUCUGGCAGCCUCCGUCUUGCAGCAUGUAGAAGAGAGUAGAUUGAAGUCCUCCAAGUAGCAUCUCCAAGUAGCAUAUCCAGGUAGCAUCUCCAAGCGCAUCUCCAGUCGCAUCGCAUAGCAUAAUCCUACCCGGCGAUCCUCUCCUCGUCGCCCUGCGGAAAAGCGAUCACCGGGUUGUCUGUGGAACUUGGAAGGGUGUGUUUUAUUAAGUAUCCGGUUCUAGUUGUCAAAAGGUCAAGGUACAACUCCAAGUCGUCCUGUUACCGAAGAUCACGGCUAUUCGAAUAGAUCAACUUCCCUGCAGGGGUGCACCACAUAACCCAACACGCUCGAUCCCAUUUGGCCGGACACACUUUCCUGGGUCAUGCCCGGCCUCGGAAGAUCAACACGUCGCAGCCCCACCUAGGCAAAACAGAGAGGCCAGCACGCCGGUCUAAACCUAAGCGCACAGGGGUCUGGGCCCAUCGCCCAUAGCACACCUGCACGUUGCGAGGGCGGCCGGAAGCAGAACUAGCCCCCUUAAUACAAGAGCAGGCUUACGUUCCAAUCCGGCGCGCGCCGCUCCGUCGCUGACGUCUGAAGUGCUUCGGCUGAUACCACGACGUCGGGAUACCCAUAACUACUCCCACGUAGAUGGUUAGUGCGUAUAGGCUCGUAGCCGACUCAGAUCAAAUACCAAGAUCUCGUUAAGCGUGUUAAGUAUCCGCGAACGCCGAACAGGGCCAGGCCCACCUGUCUCCUAGGUGGUCUUAACCUGCCCUGUCGCUCCACCACAAAGUAACCGUCGGGGACCGUCGGGAACCCAGGCCCACCUCUACCGGGAUGGAGCCACCUGUCCUUUCAGCCCCCAACUCCGUACAGUAUCACAGGUAAUGUAACAGUGUAAAGUAUAUAGUAUAUGCCCGUGAUCACCUCCCGAAGUGAUCACAGCCCAGUAGUAUAGCAUGGCAGACGGACAAGAGUGUAGGGCCACUGAUGGAACACUAGCACCCUAUACUAAGCAUUUAGGAUUGCGGGUAAGGUAUCAAUGACUGUAGCAGCAAUGACAGGCUAUGCAUCAGAAUAGGAUUAACGGAAAGCAGUAACAUGCUACACUACUCUAAUGCAAGCAGUAUAGAGUAGAAUAGGCGAUAUCUGUUGAUCAAAGGGGGGGCUUGCCUGGUUGCUCUGGCAAGAGAGAGGGGUCGUCAACUCCGUAGUCGAACUGGUCAGCAGCAGCGUCGGUCUCGUAGUCUACCGGAGAGAAGAGGGGGAAGAAAUAAUGAAUACAGAGCAAACAAAGCAUCACAAAAUAUAACAAGGCAAUACGCGGUGUUCGGUGUGCCCUAACGCGGUAGUAGGUGAUACCGGUGAAGGGGGGGAAAACAUCCGGGAAAGUAUUCCCGGUGUUUCGUGUUUUCGGGCAGAGGAGCCGGAGGGGGAAAGUUGCGAGUUCGAUAGGUUAGGGGUGUGUGGCGGACGAACGGGUUGCGUAUCCGGAUUCGUCUCGUCGUUCUGAGCAACUUUCCUGUACAUGGUUUAUUUUAUAUGAUUUUAUUUAUGAAGUUUUAAACAUUUCUGAAGUCCUGGAAUUAAAUUUAAUCCAAAUAAAAAAAUGGCUAUGGGUACAGAGGAGUGUACCCAGGAAUGUGUGCGUGUGCAUGACAUGUGGGGCUGGAGGGCUCAGUUGACCCAGUCAAGUUUGACUGGUCCACUGAUGAAUAGUGACAAUGGUGCCCAAUUGUCAUUGUCUUAGUUUAACAGAUUAAUUAAUCUAGCUUAAUUAGAGAUGGGAGCCACACAUCAUAGACAACAACUAAACUAUUCUAGUUAAUUAGAUUAAUUAGCCUGGGUCCACUUCUAAUAGCCUUAGACUAAUUAACACCUAAUUUAGCCUAAACUAAUUAGACCUACUAAUUGGGUCGGCCAUUGGCAGCGGCACACCCGGGCCUUGGCUGUGCUUGCCAUGGCUAGCACGCACGAGGCACAAGCCACGGCGGCCAUGGCCAACAGCGGCAGCAGCACAAGGAAAGCAGUAGCAGCGGCCGUGAGCAGCAGCAAACGGAGCAGCAGUGCAGCGACAGCAGUAGCAAGCAGAGCAGAGUAGCGGUAUGAGCAGCAACGCAUCGCAAGGAGCAGCAGGGGCGCACUACAUGGCCGCGGCCGAUGGCCGGCGAGCAGCGGCAGGCAGAGGCGAGGCCAGGGCAGGCGCGCUUCAGCAGCAGUACGCCGCCGCAGGAGACGGUGGUUAAGCAGCAGCAGCUCACGCACGCGCUUACACCAGUACGCGUACGCGUACACGCGACGCGGGCUAGGAUGUGCUCGGGGAAGGCAAACGGUGACCGAAUCGAGGCGGAGGAAGGGGGAUCCGGAGGAGGGCUCACCGGGGAGAACGUAGGCGAGCUCGGGGAAGGUCGGGGAGGCGCCGGUGGUGGAGAUCGACGGCGUCGUCCGACGGCCGUGGCGGAAGAAGAAGAGACGUGCAUCGUCGAUGAUGCUCCCAAGCCUCAAUCUGGUGGUGCAGACGAUGAAGUAGACGACGGAGAACCUCAUGGACAUGGCAAGGUAGCGAUGGGGAGUCGGUGGCCGCGGGAUCGAUGAAGGCGCGGUGACGAACAAGCUCGGGAUCGAGGGGAUCAAGUGUGGGGAAGGGGAGGAUUGAGCUAGGGUUGUCCAGGGCGUCCGGGGUGUCGCCCUUAUACUCCAAGGAGACCGGGGGAUGGCCGGCACCUGGCCGGGGCGCCAUGGAUGGCCUCCACGUCCUCUGAUUGUCUGAUGAACAGAGAAAGGGGAUGAGGGGAAGUUGGGCUGGGCCUAAUCCACUAAUGCACUAGGGCCCAAAACAAAUAGUCCUACUUUGUCUAUUUUCCUUUUUCUAUUCCGUUUUCUUUUAUUUCUAAAACGGUUAUAGUUUUCUAAAAUACACAAAUGGUUCCUAAAUUAGUAUUACUAUAUUUACUACUGCCACAUCAAUUUGGGUAACUAAAUAAAAUAGUUUUGUAAUUAUUUAUUAUUUAAAGGUAUUUAAAUAAUAGUUUUUACUAUUGCUUUAUUAUCAUUUGAAUAUUUAAACAUUUUAUUAAAGUGUGGUUUCUCCAUUAUAAUUACCUAUGCAUUAUUUGGAUCACUCAGAACAUUUUAGUUUUAACAUUUGAAAACUUUUAUUGUUUGCUUUAUUUUGAAUUUGAAUUUGAAUGGGUUUCGAACUAACACGAGAUUAGUAAUAGUAAUCGAGGUGACGUGGCAUCGUUAGUGCGGGAUUACUGUAGCUUGAUUACCCGGGCGUCACAAAUCUCCUCCACUACAAGAAAUCUCGUCCCGAGAUUUAAGAGGGGGACUAGGGGGAAAGGUCUGGUUACAAAAUCCUAACGAAUCUUCUCGUCUUUGGUUGCUCUUCUCGAAGAGGUCGAUCCAUUACAUUGAUGUCUUCAGUUCUCCGCUUUGGGUCAUCAUGAUGAAGUUAUCGUCCUUCCUUGGGGAUCUUCAUCGUACUUACGGAAAGGAUAAGGGGUAGCUUCAAAAGGACAGACCUCUACAAGGUUGACUAUCUGGUCGAUAACACCGAGGAAGGUGGCGGAAGUUACUCUCGAAUUGAAUCUUAAGAAAAUAUCGAGAGCAAAGUAAGGAGGUACCAUGAGAAGUUUCAAACGGAUAGGCAAGUGUUCGAUGCCUAAUCAGCAGGUGAAAGGGGUUCAGGGCAACGAGAAUAAGUAUUGCGUCUGAUACCAAAAUAGAUCACUUGGGACGGCGGUCCGUGAAUUACAUACGAGUCCACUCGCGAGGAAUAACUUUGGGAACAGGGGUUGUACAGGAGAGUCAGGUUUCGAUCCUGUGAAACUGUGGGUUAUGGGCCCACCAUGUGGAUUAACAGUAGGAAGGGCGGUGACGUUUUGCACGAUCAUGAUAGCAAGGCAUGUCAGAGAGUAGCAUGUCAGUUAUGUCGGCAACAAUGUUGGUACCAAGGGCGAGGGACGAAGAAAACCAUUUUCCUGCUCGUUGAAAUGAGGCGGGCCAAGAGGCAAAGUUCUCAUCCAUCGGCGGUUACCGAAAUGUCAUCAACAAUAGAAACAGGGUCUCACUGGCAGAGUUGUACACCGAGGUGUUUACAUGAGCAGAAGAAUCUUACUGUUUAGAUCAGAUAGAUCACAAGAAAGGUUAAACAAACCAAUGGAAAAGAAAAUGUGAUCCUCAGGUUAAACAGAACAAAUGGAAAGGAAAAAUGUGUUUAAACACAUAUUUCAGGGGUAUAUCCUUCCCAAGGACAAGCAGAGCAUGAUAUCCUUGAUAGGAUAUAAGGUAGAAAACCCUUUCAGGUAAGGGGAGAGAAAUUUCAUGACAUUACUCACACAACGGUGUUAGGAUAAAUGAUAAAUAAAAUUUAGCAUCGUGCUUCAAAUGUUCCUGUUGAAAAUCGGAGUACCAUUGACAUGCUUCUAGAUAGCAUUGACAAGGUCUUCAGGUGAAGAUCAGACUUGGGAAACACGAAGGAUCCAUUAGGAAUAACUUGUAGAAUAAGUCUUACAAUUUCCUCCAGGAAGAAUGGUUGUCCUUGCAAAAGAAAUUAUAACGAUAGGUCCUCCACCCAGCGGGGGGGGGGGGUGCUAGGCAUGACAUCAUGUUACCGGGUCACGUAGAGAUCAAUGUUACAACUCUUGGAGGUAUGUCCCAACCAUCAUAUCUGACCGAGAUUCAGAUCUGGUUGGUGUCAGGAUACCUCAGACUUAGGAUACCUGAGAAGAAAAGGUGCAACGCAAAUUGACGAGAUGACAUUGUAAGAUUCUCGGGGAAAUGAACUGUGAAGUGAUUUCCGUUAUCAAGAGUCCAUCAUUAACCCAAGGAGAGGACAAGGAGGUGUCUGGUGAACUCAACGGCAAUUCACCGAGAUUCCUAAAAGAUGGAUGUCCACAAUUAAGUGAACAAGGAGAUAACAUUGGUCAGAUCAAAUGAUAUAAGGAAAUAUGCUCGAGGAAAACAUACACAAUUAAACAUUGGUUGAAAGGUGCGUCCGAAAUAUGGGUUGGGUUGCACGACCGACGUCGGAAAUGGUGAUUCAAUAAUCAAUAGUCUAAGAAUGAAUGGCCAACCAUUAACUUCAAAGCAAGAGGGUUCCUAGAAGGGCAGAAUCCAAACAGCACCGCCCACUUGUUGGUACCCCGGUUGGAAUCAACACGAGGACCCAAGAAAGAAUGGUGAUGGUGAGAAGUAUCACCAUACACGACAUUCUUGACAUAAAAGGUGGUAAUAUCCAAGGUAAAGAAGAACAAUGCUGGGUAGCAAGGAACUCAAGGUACAACACAAAACAAGAACAAGUCUGUGUUGGAGGAAAGGUAGUAGAGUGGUCGAUGAUAACACUAAUCAUCGAGGGCAAGGAUGGUAUUUCUCAUCAUGAACUCAAUUGACAUCCUGGAAGAGCUCAGAAUGCCGAUGAUGAUCACGACACAAUUGUUGAGAGAUUUCAUGAAGAUGUAAUCGGUCGGCGAUGGCAUCAAGCCAAAGGAAUGAUGAAGUGAAAGGUUACUGAAACCAAGGGUAUGACACAAACUCGAAACAAGCUCGUAGUUCAAGGCGAAGUGUUAAGACGAGGAAGAUCGACGUAAGCUUAGCUCAUCGUCGAAAAUUGGUGCUCCGAGAAUAAGGACCAGGUAGCACGGUUAGAAUCAUCACGUCAAUGAUAUAGCCAAACAGGCUAGGAAUGGCGUGAUCGGGUUCAAACUCGUACUUAUAGAAGCUUACUGAAGAGUUGUUGAACCGUAGUGCGGACUUGGUUCAGUUAUCGGUGUCUUUGAGUGUUUAAUAACUCAGAGCCCGUGAAAAAUUGGGAUCAGUGGGAAGGUAGCACUUGAUGAAGAACUCAUAAGAGGUUAUGCUGUUCCAUGAUAAUCUCGAGAUACCAGGGGUAACACUCAACGACAGAUCAAAGUAGAGGUUGGACUGGGGUAAUGCUCUGCAGAAGACAAGUACUCUAACUUGUCUGAGAAAUAGAAUCAAGGGAGAACAACAUGGUCGGAACCACGGUUGCGUAGGAUCAAUUCACAGAUACCAGAUGAUAUUUAUCAAGAAAAUAGUUAUUAUUACAAGAAGUUUCCAUGAUAGGAUCUACAUCGUGUCCAUGGGCAUGAACACAAAGUUCAAGGUCGACUCCCACUUCUUCAAUGUAUAACCUUCCAUUCACUUCUCGCUUUGAUAAAGGCAUUGGUGUUGAAAGUUUUACCUGGUGAAAUACCAGAUGAGUACGACUCGUGAAAACUUCCGAGUUCACACAUAUAAAGGAAGGCAUAGGUUCAACCCGGCAGGGUAUCAUGGAAACAUAUACCACAAGCUUCAAUAGUAAAUACCACCCGCUCGAAAGCAGAGCAUGGUUGGCAAAAGGAAAGGAUACAAUUUACCAAAGGCAUUAUGUAUCGGAGAAGGAACUCACAAAGUGAUUAAUUAUGAAGGACACUGUCAGAUAAUAAUCCAACAGUGGAUAUGGCGAUCCACGAUGGGGCUGAUAUGAGUAUCGAUACUCAAUCAGAGGAAGAAAGAUUGCAAAUGCAUCGGUUUAUAGAACAGCUGAAUAGUUCAACGCUUAAUUAGCAAAGUAAUUAUGAUUUUCAAAUCAAGGGAUCAGGAGCAAAUGCUCUAAUCAAGAAUGGAUAAGCUGAAUAGAAUUAGGGAUACAAUCAACGACAAUUGGACUGGUCAAGAACCAAUUCCAGUUAAAAGAAUGGCAGCUCAGCCGGAAAGGUAAUUUAUAAGGAUCAAUGAUGAUUGCGUGUAUUCGCAAACAUAUUGAGUCAUUAGACCCAAAAUGAUAAUGACAAGGAAUGUCAAUAAGACUACGAGACUUAUGGGAUUAACCAUAAUGCGAGCAAGCAAGAAUUUCAAGAGCCAAAGGCUCCAGAGGAUUUUCGGAAGAUCGAAUAGUAUUUAGACUUUUGUGAAACACAUGAACAACUGGGGAUGAGCGGAUACUCGAUAAGUGCGAGAAUUAUCCAUAGGGGUAUUCAGGUGACAAGGAACAGCAAGGCGAUAAUCUCAAAGGAUUAUCGAGACAACGACGAGUGUUUCGAGGUAUCUGGUAAUAACAAGACCAACUGGGGAUGAAUGUAAGAAUAACAACUGCAAGUAGUUAUCCAUAAGGGUUGACGGUGGAAGGGGAAUUGCAAAUGCGAUGAACAUAAGUUCUCGGGUUAACAACGGAGAGUAUCUUCAGGGUCUUCACGUGCCGCAGACGAUCAUCAUUAAUAAGGGGCUCUCCGGGUGAAAGUGAUAACGAGAUCCUAAUGUUGGAUUUAGCAAAAAUCAUUUAACCCGAAUAGAAGAGAAAUAAGAGUCCCAGAGUAUAGGUCGAGGAAUAAAAGAUCCUAAUACCACCCAAUGGCGACGUGGGCCCGUAAGGCACACAACCAAGUUAGUAAAAGUUUUGCAAUGGCUAGACUCAACUUCGGCCGAGGAGUUGGAAAGGGGAUUCCUACAGGCAGUCGGCUCUGAUACCAACUUGUGACGCCCCCGAUUUAAUCGUACACUAAUCAUGCAUGCAAAUGUGUACGAUCAAGAUCAGGGACUCACGGGAAGAUAUCACAACACAACUCUAAAACAUAAAUAAGUCAUACAAGCAUCAUAAUACAAGCCAGGGGCCUCGAGGGCUCGAAUACAAGUGCUCGAUCAUAGACGAGUCAGCGGAAGCAACAAUAUCUGAGUACAGACAUAAGUUAAACAAGUUGCCAUAAGAUGGCUAGCACAAACUGGGAUACAGAUCGAAAGAGGCGCAGGCCUCCUGCCUGGGAUCCUCCUAACUACUCCUGGUCGUCGUCGUCAGCCUGCACGUAGUAGUAGGCACCUCCAAUGUAGUAGUCGUCAUCGACGCUGGCUCCUGGCUCCUGGACUCCAGCAUCUGGUUGCGACAACCAGAAAGAAAGGAAAGGGGAAAAAGGGGGGAGAAAGCAACCGUGAGUACUCAUCCAAAGUACUCGCAAGCAAGGAACUACACUACAUAUGCAUGGGUAUAUGUGUAAGGAGGCCAUAUCAGUGGACUGAACUGCAGAAUGCCAGAAUAAGAGGGGGAUAGCUAAUCCUGUCGAAGACUACGCUUCUCGCAGCCACCGUCUUGCAUCAAGUAAAAGAGAGUAGAUUGAAGUCCUCCAAGUAGCAUCUCCAAAUAGCAUCUCAUAGCAUAAUCCUACCCGGCGAUCCCCUCCUCAUAUCCCUGAGGUAGAGCGACCACCGGUUGUAUCUGGCACUUGGAAGGGUGUGUUUUAUUAAGUAUCCGGUUCUAGUUGUCAUAAGGUCAAGGUACAACUCCAAGUCGUCCUGUUACCGAAGAUCACGGCUAUUCGAAUAGAUUAACUUCCCUGCAGGGGUGCACCACAUUCCCCAACACGCUCGAUCCCAUUUGGCCGGACACACUUUCCUGGGUCAUGCCCGGCCGCGGAAGAUCAACACGUCGCAGCCCCACCUAGGCAAAACAGAGAGGCCAGCACGCCGGUCUAAACCUAAGCGCACAGGGGUCUGGGCCCAUCGCCCAUAGCACACCUGCACGUUGCGAGGGCGGCCGAAAGCAGACCUAGCCUAGUGGCGUUCCAGUCCAAUUCGGCGCGCGCCGCUCCGUCGCUGACGUCUGAAGUGCUUCGGCUGAUACCACGACGUCGGGAUACCCAUAACUACUCCCACGUAGAUGGUUAGUGCGUAUAGGCUCGUAGCCGACUCAGAUCAAAUACCAAGAUCUCGUUAAGCGUGUUAAGUAUCCGCGAACACCGAACAGGGCCAGGCCCACCUGUCUCCUAGGUGGUCUUAACCUGCCCUGUCGCUCCGCCACAAAGUAACCGUCGGGGACCGUCGGGAACCCAGGCCCACCUCUACCGGGAUGGAGCCACCUGUCCUUUCAGCCCCCAACUCCGUACAGUAUCACAGGUAAUGUAACAGUGUAAAGUAUAUAGUAUAUGCCCGUGAUCACCUCCCGAAGUGAUCACAGCCCAGUAGUAUAGCAUGGCAGACGGACAAGAGUGUAGGGCCACUGAUGGAACACUAGCAUCCUAUACUAAGCAUUUAGGAUUGCGGGUAAGGUAUCAAUGACUGUAGCAGCAAUGACAGGCUAUGCAUCAGAAUAGGAUUAACGGAAAGCAGUAACAUGCUACACUACUCUAAUGCAAGCAGUAUAGAGUAGAAUAGGCGAUAUCUGUUGAUCAAAGGGGGGGCUUGCCUGGUUGCUCUGUCAAGAGAGAGGGGUCGUCAACUCCGUAGUCGAACUAGUCAGCAGCAGCGUCGGUCUCGUAGUCUACCGGAGAGAAGAGGGGGAAGAAAUAAUGAAUACAGAGCAAACAAAGCAUCACAAAAUAUAACAAGGCAAUACGCGGUGUUCGGUGUGCCCUAACGCGGUAGUAGGUGAUACCGGUGAAGGGGGAAAAACAUUCGGGAAAGUAUUCCCGGGGUUUCGUGUUUUCGGGCAGAGGAGCCGGAGGGGGAAAGUUGCGGGUUCGAUAGGUUAGGGGUGUGCGGCGGACGAACGGACCACGUAUCCGGAUUCGUCUCGUCGUUCUGAGCAACUUUCAUGUAGAAAGUAUUUUCAUCCGAAUUACGGAUUAAAAGAUAUGAUUUUCUAAAGAUUUAAAUCAUUUUCUGAUUUUAAUUAUUUAUUUAAAUUCAACAUUAUCCAAAACAGUGUUUGCUGACGUCAUCAUGACGUCAGCGAUGUUGACUGGUCAACUGACGUGUGGGUCCCACUAGUCAUUGACUGUUUAGUCUAAUUAGUGUGUAACUAAUCUAACUACUAUUUAAUUAAACUAAUUAGUUAGUUUGGUUAAUGUAAUUAUGAUUAAUUAACUUAAUUAAUUUCUUAAUUAAUUAAUUAGUUAAAUUAUUAUUAUCUAUUUAUUUAUUUUAUUUAUUUUAUAUAUUAUUUUUAAUUCCUUUUUUUUAACAAAACGUUCUGGGGCUGGGGCCCCCAUGUCAGUGGCCCCAGGGGGCCUUAACGGGUUAGCGGGCAGGAGGGCGACGGGCGCCGGGGCGAGCGCUCACCCGCACGGAGUGUGGCGAGGCGAGGCCAGUGGCCAAGGCGACCGCGGUGGCCGGCCGGCGUGGGGAGACGAAGUGCGGGGCCGGCGACGAGCGAGCUCGCGGGCGAUAGAGGAGGCGCCGCCGGAGUGGGGCCGUGCGGACGGGCUGGCGUGAGGGGCGAGGCCACGGCAGCUGCAGCAGUGGGAGGCGCGGGCGCGCAGGCCGGCGAGGCCGCAUCGCUGGUGAGGUGAGGCUGCGCACGCGUGGGCGGUUGCGGGGCGCGCCCCGGGCGCGUCGAGGAGAGGGCGUGCACGACCGGGCGCACCUACAGGCGCGGUGAGCGCGUCGACAGAGGCGGCGGCCAGCGGCGACUACGAGCGUUGCACAGCGAUGGGAGCAGAGGAGAAGGGAGGGAACGGACGGCGGAGCUCACCGAGCCCUGUAGGUGUGCUUAAGUAGGCUCGAGGAGGAGUCGGGGAGGUCCGGCGACGAAGAGGGCGGCGGUGGUGGAGACGACGACGUCCGAGGCGAGCGCGGCGAUGGCGGUUCGGCGUCGAGAUGGGAUCGGGGGGGGGGCUGCCCCGAUCCAGAUCGGGCAGGGAGGGAGAUGAGGGAGCGAGGUGGAGGGCGACGGGGUCCUCAGGCGGGGGAGGGGGCACUCCGGGCGGCGUCUUGGCGGCGGCGAUCGAGCCCCCGAUCCAGAUCAGAUCGGGAGGGGGAGGGGAGAGUCGUGGGGAGUGGGGGGUGCGGUCGGGGGAGUUAGGGUUUUCCCUAGAGGGGAUAUGGAGGGGGGUUUGGGCCGGUCUGGUUGGAUGGCCAGCUGGGCCGUCUGGCCCAGUUAGCCAGGGGGCCUCUUCUCUUUUUUUUUGUAGUUUUGUUUUCUGUUUUUAUUGUUUUCCUUUUUUUAUUUUCUCUACUGUUUUAGCUCAUUUUAAAAAAAUAUAGGCCUUAUAUAAAAACAUGGUUUCUUCAUGACAAAUAGUUAGGGAAUAUUUUCAACACAUCAAACAUUAUAGUUUUGACUUUUGAAAACUUUAAUAGUUUUAACUUUAAUUCAAAUUUAGAAUUUGAAUCCGUUUCGAUCUAACAUGGAAUUAUCAACAAUAACCGAGGUGACGUGGCAUCAUUAACAUGGGAUUACUGUAGCCUGAUUACCCGGGCGUCACAGAGAUAUCGGGAUGAUCAAAGGGGGGCUUGCCUGGAAGCUUUGCUGAAAAAGAAGAAGUAUCGUCGUUGACGUAGUCGAUCACAGGGGCGGCAUCGGUCUCGGGGUCUACCGUAGAGAAGAGGGGGAAGAAACAAUAAAUAUAAAGCAAACAUAGCAUCACAAAGCAUAACAUGGCAAUAUAAUGUGCCGGGUGUGACCUAACGUAUGGCUACACGAUAAAGGUGAAGGGGGAAUUCAACCGGGAAUGUUUUUCCGGUUCCGGACCGGUGUCAGACAUAUGGUCGGAGGAGAAUGUUCCAUGUUCAGCAUACUAGGGGCAUUUGACAGAUGAACGGACCACAUAUUCAGAUUUGUUGGAUUUUUUUGAGCAACUUUCAUGUAGAAAACAUUUUCGUGCGAGUUACACUUUAUUUUCUAUAAAUUUCUAAAGUUUAAACAAAGUUCUGAAAUUACUUUUAAUUCGAAAAUAAAGACUAAAUUGCUAUGUGUACACAGAAGUGUACCCAGCUAUUUGCACCAGGCUGUAGGUGGGGUCUAGUUGACUGCUAAGUCAGCAGUCAAUUGAGACCAUUGACUAGUCAAAGGGGCCUGGGGACCCGCAUGUCAUUGACUGGGUUAUCCCAGUCAGCAGUUUGACUGGUCAAAAGGGACCAGCGGGACCCAUUUGUCAUAGGAACAUGUUAUAAACAGGAGUUUUAUUAGCUCAUUUAACUAGAUGGGGGGCACCAGUCAAUGUCUAUUGGCUAAAAUAUCUAGGCAAUUAGAUUAAUUANNNNNNNNNNNNNNNNNNNNNNNNNNNNNNNNNNNNNNNNNNNNNNNNNNNNNNNNNNNNNNNNNNNNNNNNNNNNNNNNNNNNNNNNNNNNNNNNNNNNNNNNNNNNNNNNNNNNNNNNNNNNNNNNNNNNNNNNNNNNNNNNNNNNNNNNNNNNNNNNNNNNNNNNNNNNNNNNNNNNNNNNNNNNNNNNNNNNNNNNNNNNNNNNNNNNNNNNNNNNNNNNNNNNNNNNNNNNNNNNNNNNNNNNNNNNNNNNNNNGUGGGGGGUAGUAAUAAAGGGGGAUUAGCUCCCACUAAUUAACAGGGGCGCGGCCUAGUUAGCAGCGGCCUCAGCACGCACGACGUACAGGGACGCCGGCGAUAGCUGCGAUGGCGCGAGGCCGUGCUCGCGCAGGCGCAGAGUGCGGGGUCGUGGCCAUGUGUCGGCCAGGAUGAGAGGAGCAGGUGCGGGGCUGGGAAGGAGGAGCAGCCAGCGCAUCUCGAGGGCGAGCGACGGGAAAUGGGCGAGGCGCGGCAGCCGGCGGUUCGUGAUGCGGGGCGGAGGGGCUCGGCGAGGCCUGAGCGCGGCGGCUGCAAGCGAGGCGCCGCCCAGGCACGACGACUGCGGGCAAGGCGCGGCCCCGGGCGUGCGGUUAGGCGAGCGAGGGCGCGCGUGGAGGGCCAGCAGGAGCGCGGGAAAGGCAGGGCGCGCGGCAGCCGCGAGCUCCUUGGGAGCUCGGGCGCGACGGCGGGAGCGACGUACGGCGUGCAGGAGAGCUAAGGGGGGGAGGGGAGGUGGCUCACUGUCGUUGCAGGGAAGGCCCGGGGAAGAGUCGAGGUGACCGGGACGACGUCGGCGAACGAAGAGGAAGACGAAGAUGCAGGGGAUGGUGUAGAGCACUCCAGCUCAAACCGUUCCUCGCGGACGAUGUAGGCGACGGUGGCGCAGCUGCUGGACACCCUUGCGAGGCUCGGGGAGCAUGGUUCCCGCAGGAUCUACGACGGCGCUCACGGGUGCGUGCUCGAUGUGGAACAAAUCGGCGAGGGAAAAGAGGAAAAAAGGUCUAGGGUUUGUCCAUGGGGCCGGGAGAGUCCUUAUCUACCGAGGCAAACUGUGGGAUGGUCGACACGAGGAGAUCGGGGGCGUGGACGGGUGCGCCAGCUCCACGCCAUGGCUCUGACUCCCUCUGUACAGGGGGUUGAAGAAAAGCCCUGGUGGUGGGCUGGGCUUGGUACAGUGGAGUUGAUGGGCCAAAUGUACAGGGGUGUUCUCCUUCUUUUAUGCUUUACCUUUUGCUUUUCUUUCACUGUUAGCAUUUUCCUAGAAGUAGUAAAUGACUUUUCUUCUACAAAGUAUUUGGCGCAUAAAUAUCAGGAUAUAUAUUAAGGGUGCACACAAGGUUUGGGGUCAAUUGGAAAAGUUUAAAUAAUUAUUUAUUUUGAAAAGGCCAUUUUAUCUGUUGUUGGACCAUUUAUUAAUUUCCUAGGGAUUUAUCUGUGAGUCAAAUGAAGUUGGUUUCUACAUGAUAAUUAGCUAGUGAAUAUUUGCAACCCAACCAACUUUUUUGUUUUAUUUUUGAAGAAAACAAUUUGACAUGCAAAUUUGAAUAUGAAUAUGAAGUUGAUUUCGAACAAAGUGAUGAUUAGCAAAAUAAUUGUGAUGACUUGGCAGUCAUUAGCAGGAGUUUACUGUAGCAUGAUUAUCGGGGUGUUACAAAUCUCCUCCACUACAAGAAAUCUCGUCCCGAGAUUUAAGGGGUGGAGUAAGGGGGAAAGACUCGGGAAGGACGGAGUUGAACACAAGAUAGGUACCUGGGGACUAUCUCAGUGAACGUGGCAUAAAGGCACCUCUCGAGUCGAAAUUCAAGAAAGACGUUGAGAGCAAGGUAAGGAGGUGCAGUAAGAAGCUUCAACCGAGUAGGCAAUCGUUUGUUGCCUAAAACAUACGGUGAAAGGGGUUCAGAGCAAUGGGAAUAGGUAUUGCGUCUGAUACCAGAAUAGAUCGCUAGGAAUGUGGCUCGUGAUAUACAUACGAAUCCAAGUGCGAGGAACAAUUUUGUAAAACAGAGAUUUACAGGAGAGUCAGGUUUCAAUCCUGUGGAAUGGUGGGUUAUGGGCCCACCACGUGGUUUAAAAAGUAGGAAGGGUGUUGACAUAUUGCACGGUCAUGAUAGCAAGGCCUGUCAGAGGAUACCUAUCAGUUAUGUUGGCAACAACAUUGGUACCAAGGGGGAGGGACGAAUAGAACCAUUCUCCUGCUCGUUGAACGAGGCAGACCAAUAGGCAAAGUUCUCGUCCAUCGGUGGUUACCGGAAUGUCGUCCACAAUAGUAAUAGGGUCUUACUGACAGUUUGUACACCGAGGUGUUUACAUAAGCAAUGAAAUAUUACUGCUUAUAUCAUAUAGAUUACAAUAAAGAUAAUGCAAAACAAUGGAAAGGAAAAAUGUGAUUAUCGGAUUAAACACUCCAAUGGAUAGGAAAAUGUGUUUAAACACAAGUAUUAGGAGUAUAUCCUUCAGAAGAACAAGUAGAGCAGGAUAUACCUGACAGGACAACAAGUAGAUAUGCAAGAAGGUUGUCGAUGUUAACACAAAUCAUCGAGAGGGCAAGGAUGGUAUUUAUCAUCAUGAAUUCGAUUCAUAACCUGGAAGAGCUCAGAAUGUUGAUGAUGAUCAUGACACAUUUGUCUAGAGAUUUCAUGAACAUGUAAUCGAUCGGCGAUGACAUCAAGUCAAAGGAAUGACGAAGCGAAAGCUUAUUGGAACCACGGGUAUGACACAUACUCGAAAUCAAGCUUGCUGUUCAAGGCGAAAUGAUAUGACGAGGAAGAUCGACGUAGGCUUAGCUCAUCAUCAAAAAAUGUGCUCUAGGAAGAAGGACCAAGUAGCACAGUUAAAAUUUAGCACGAUAAUGAUAUAGCCGAUCAGGGUAGGAAUGACUUGAAGGAUUAUUAAACUCGUAAGCAACAAAAAUUACUUAGAGUUAUAGAAUCAGAGUGUGGAAUCGAUUCACUUAUCGGUGUUCUCGAGUUACUAACAACUCAAAAGCCAGGGAAAUCUGAAACGAUGAGAAGCAAUACCAGAAGACGACUCGUAGGAAGCAACAUGGUUCUUUGUUAUUCUUGAGAUACCGGAGGGUAAUACUCGAUGGAAGAUCAAAAUAGAGGUUGCGAAGAUGCAUUUAUCUACAGAAGACAGGUGCUUUAACUUGUCCGAGAAAUGGAAUCAAAGGAGAACAAUUAUGGUCAGAACCACGAUGCAAAGGAUCAAAUCCUAGAUAUAAGAUGAUCUUAUACCAAGGGGAUAGUUAAUUUUAAGAGAAGCUUCCAUGAUAAGAUCUACAUCGUGUACAUGGGCAUGAACACAAAGUUCAAGGUCGACUCCCACUUCUUCAAUGCAUAUCAUUUCAUUUACUUCUCGCUUUCGAUGAAGUUGUAGUGUUGAAAUGUUAUCUGGCAAAACACCAGAAAAGUAAGACUCGUUAAAGCUCUCGGGUUCAAAAGGAUUAGGUGAGGCAUAGGUUCAACCCAUAGGGGCAUCUUAGGAACCUAUUCCAUAAACUUCAGAAGUAAACAACACAAGCUCGAAAGCAGAGUAUGGUUGACAAAAGGAGAGGAUACAAUUUACCAAAGGCAUUAUGUAUCUGGGAAAGAACUUCACGAGGUUCUUUGCAUAUGAAGGACACUGUCGGAUGAUAAUCCAAUAAUGGAUCUGGCGAUCCACAACGAAGCUGAUGUGAGUAUCGAUAUUCAAUCAGAAGAAGAAAUAAUGCAGAGGCAUUGGAUUUUGGAAACAUCUGAUAAUUCCAAAGCUUAAAUGCAAAGGAAUUAUGAUUUCCAAUUCGGGGGAUCAGAAGCAGAUGCUAUAAUCAAAAGAUAAGCAAGUUGAAAAGACAUAGAUCGACAAUCAUUCAAGGUUUGAUUUGCCGAGAACCAGCUCAUGUUUGAAGUGACGUCUGAGCCAAAAGGACGAAUUUCAUAAGGAUCAACUGAUGAUUGCGUGCAUUCACAAACAUGUUGAAUCAAUAGGAUCAGAAAGUCAACCACAACAGAUUUCGAUGGAUAUUGCUAGACAUAUGGAAUUAACCAUCAUGCAAGCAUGUAGUGAAGAACAAGAGCAAUAAGCUACUGAGGAUUUUGGGAGAUCGAAUAGUAUUUCAAAGAAUUUUGUGAAACACAAGAACAACUAGGGAUGAUCGAAUCCUCGAUAAGUGUGAGGAAUUACUUGUAGAUGUAUUCAUGUGGAAAAGAGCUACAAGGCAGUAGACACAGUAUUCUCAGAACAAUAGAGAGAAUUUCAGAGUAUCUUGUAAUAACAAGAUCAAUGGGGAAUGAUUAUAUGAAUGGCAAGCGUACGCGGUUAUCUAUAGGGUUUUAUCAAUGGAAGGGAAUUGCAAAAGCAUUGGCACAAAGUCUCGAGAGAACAACAUAGAGUAACUUUGAAAUCUUCUGGUGAAGCACGCGAUCAACUGGAAUGAGGGGCUCUCUGAGAGGAAGUAUUUACGAGAACCUAAUGCUAGAGUUUGCAAAAUCAUUUAACCCGAGUAGAAGAGAGAUCAGAGUCCCAGAGUAAAGACAAGGAGUAAUAGAUCCUAAUACCACCCAAUGGCAACAUGGGCCCGUAAGCCACACAACCAUGUUAGUGAAAGUUUUGUACUGACUAGACUCAACUUCGGCCAAGGAGUUGGAAAGGGGGCUACCUACAGGCAGUCGGCUCUGAUACCAACUUGUGACGCCCUCGAUUCAACCGUACACUAAUCAUACACGCAAAUGUGUACGAUAAAUAUCAAGGACUCAUGGGAAGAUAUCACAACACAACUCUAGACACAAAUUAAAAAAAAUACAAGCUUUAUAUUACAAGCCAGGGGCCUCGAGGGCUCGAAUACAUCAGCCUGAAUACAAACGAGUCAGCGGAAGCAACAAUAUCUGAGUACAAGCAUAAGUUAAACAAGUUUGCCUUAAGAAGGCUAGCACAAAAGCAACAUCGACCGAAAAGGCAAGGCCUCCUGCCUGGGAGCCUCCUAACUACUCCUGGUCGUCAGCAGUCUCCACGUAGUAGUAGGCACCGGCGGUGGCAUCUGGCUCCUGGGCUCCGACAUCUGGUUGCAACAAGCAGAAAGAAGAAAGAAGGGGGAAAUGGGGAGCAAAGCAACUGUGAGUACUCAUCCAAAGUACUUGCAAGCAAGGAUCUACACUACAUAUGCAACAUUAUCAAAGGAAGGCUGUAUAUGUGGACUGGGCUGCAGAAAUGCCAGAAUAGAGAGAAGGCCUAGUCCUAUCGUAGACUAGCAUCUUCUGGAAACCACCAUCUUGCAACAAACAGGAGGGAGUAGAGUAGCAUAAAGUAAAGUAGUAGUAGUGUUAUCAACCUCGGCCAGAGAUCCUUUCUCGACUCCCUGCGAGAAAGCAAUCCUAGAGCCAUACUAUCCAAUUGUCAUCACAAUCCAAUUCUCGUCACCAUCCAAUUCUCAUCACAAGUAUCUAGUUCUAGUUGUAUCGAUCGGGAUACAGCUCUGAGUGUCCGUUACCGUAGGACAGACUAUCGAUAGAUGUUUUCUUCCCUGCAGGGGUGCUUAAACCGGCAAUAUUUUCUUUUCAGACCAUCACCAACAAUGACUAAGACCUUCACCUCAUGCAACUGGGUAGCAUCCCGGGUUACCAAGGAAGACCUAAACAAUUUUGUUCAGAUUGGCGUCUUAUCCAAAAAAACGACAUCCACUGGAGGGUCCCAGGCACUGAAAAUCCUCCUGAGCCCAAGGAAGGAGAAGUAAUCGUUUUCACUGACCAUAUGAUCCGGGGUUUACCCCGCCCGGUUCAAAAUUUUUCUGAGAUGUGUUACACUUUUUCCAGCUUCAUCCUCAAGAUAUCGGGCCCAAUUCUGUCUCCAAUAUUUGCAACUUCAAAGUUUUUUGCGAAGCUUAUCUUCAAGAAGAGCCCACUGUCGAACUGUUUAAGGAGUUCUAUUACUUGAACCGGCAGAUGGAAUUCAUAGAUGAGCCCAGCUUAGAGCUAGGCGGAGUUUCAAUCCAGAGGCGGGAGGAGGCCACCUUCCCAUAUGCCAAGCCGCCCAGUCAUCCUAAGGACUGGAACCAGACUUGGUUUUAUUGCCAAGACACGUCUCCAGAGGGUGAAAAUCCGCUGCCAGGUUACCGUGAACACCGGCUCGGCAACACUCAUCGACUCCCAGAGCGAAUCAGCACGAAGAAAAGGGCCAAGUAUGCACCCAUUUUUUCAAAAAUCAGAGCCUUCAUGGCUAACAGUUUAACCUGCAUCGACCUUGUUCGGUGCUGGGUCGCCUGGAGGAUUCUGCCCUUAAGCCGCCGCCCCGGCUUAAUGUGCAAGUACAUCGGUGAUUUGAAAGAUCCACAACGCCACUGCGAAAUUCAAUUAUCUGACGCAUAAAUCAAUGAUGCGACCAAGGCUUUACUAAAUGAAAGCUUGGCAGAGUGUAGUAAAACCAGACUUAGUCCUUUCUGCACCUUCAACCAGCCGCGAGCUGUAAGUUUUGCACAUAAUUUUCAAUUGAAUCAUGCUUUCAUUAACACUGUCCUCUUAUAAUCAUCUAACUUCCAUAGGCCGAUUCUCCCUUUUGGAAGAAGAAGCUGCAGGACAAGCCAACCAAGAAGACCCGGACCAAGACCAAGGCUAACAAAAAGCCUGCCAAGAAGAAGACUGACCCCUCCGAGUUACUUGACUUGGAUGAUGAUGGUGAUGAUGAUGAGUUGGAGGUAGAACUUGAUUCUCUUGGCUCAUUUUUUGUACAUCUCAUUGACAAUGACUAUUAUCAGGAUGAAGCGGAACCCAGCCGUGCAAGUGACGAAGAGGUAAUUCUUCUUUCCUCCGGCUCAGAAUCUCUGCCAAAACAGAAAACUCGACAAGCAAGCCAGAAAGUAAGGUUUUCUCAUCCUUUGGAUUAUUUGGAUCUCAACUUUAUUUCGAAGAAGCAGCAACAUGAAGCUCGCCGUACGACCCGGAAUAGCGGAGGCGGGAUCCUUUCCUCCGGCUUACCAAACACUCCAGCUCCCCACAAGCGUCACCAAGAGGUUUCAACAAUUUCCGACUUAACUUAUCCCAAGGCGAGUCUUUUCGACAACCUCUUAAUCCUUCUGACUCAAAUUACCAGGGAACAUCCUAUUCCUCCUCCGGCGACUCAACAGGGACCCACGUCCCAGUCUUCAGGACUGUGACUGGGUAAGAAUGUUAAAUCUCUGCUUUCAAUCAUGUACUCAAUUGUUGUGUUAACCUUGUCUUGUGUUUCAUUUAUAGAGCUAUGGCAAAGCCCAGCAAGAAAAUUAAGGUGACAAAAACAACUGACAACCCUUCUGAACAGGAGAAGCAGUCAACGUACACUUCCUUCCACGCCCCUGAAGCCACAACCGACGAGCCACCUUUGGAAGAGCACAACGUUACCAUAGAUCAUAUGGACGUUGAUCCAGCCACCAACAAGCCGCCAAGUCCCAUCAAGCCGCCAAGUCCCAUGAAGCCUAAUGAAGAAAAGGCUGAUGAUGUUAUCAUUAUGGGCUUGGUUAUACAGCGCCAGGCAAUCCCACUGUCUUAUCAAAGCAUAACGCCAAGGAAGAAAUUUCUAUUGCUGACAAAGGCAAGUGGUCAGUCAAUUUAGAGAGCUAUGCUCACUACAGCACUCAGGAGAUCCACUCUGGGUACUUGAACCGUCUGCACGACUUCGAGGCCGGCUUAGUGAAUCUCAUGAAGGAACACUUUGAGGUCAACACUAGACUUCUUCAUAUACACAUAAUUUAUCAGCCACCAAGUCUACAUGAUAUGAUAGAAUUGAAUGUACUAUAGACUUUAGAUAGCCUUUAUAUCAAAUCCAGUAGCCCCCAAGGGCCGGCUUGUACUUUCAAGAUAAGCCGGUACUUCAAAUAGUAAUGCUCCAACUUUGCACAUGUAGCCCCCAAGGGCUGGCUUAAUCUGUCAAGAUAAGCCGGGACUUCCAAUAAUAAUGAUUCAAUUUUGCACCAGUAGCCCCCAAGGGCCGGCUUAAUCUUUCAAGAUAAGCCGGGUCUCAUUACCAUAGUUGUCAAUAAAAUCCAAGUAUAUAGCCCCCAUGAAUCGGCUAUAGUCACCAUAGUAUAUCCGAGUCAUCAGGAAAUUGUCUUUAAAAAGAGCAAUGUGCAUUAGCCCCCCAAGUGCCAAGUGAAAUACUUGUAUUGUGCUUGGGACUUUUAAAUAAGAUGAUUGUAACCCCGUCUAUUGUUUGCAUCCUGCAGGCCAAACUCAAUGUGAAAGAAUCCCAAGUCGCCGAUCUUCAAGAGAAUAUCAAGUCUCAACAAUCUAAAACCUCCAAGGCCAAAUCAGAAUUGACCACCGCCUUGGCAAAGAUGGAGAAGCUGAAGAAGAAUUUCAAGGCUGACCAAGCAGGCUGGGAGAUGGAGAAAACAGCUCUGUUGAAGAGAGCAGAAGAAGCAGAAGCAACCCUUAAACCGGUGGCUGAAGAGCUUGGCGAUUUAGAACAUCAAAUAAAUACCAUGACUGCUGCCAUCUUCAGUAAGUAACUUUAUCUCAAUUUGUUACUACCAAUGCAUUGUAAUAAUCAUUCAUCUGGCUUAUAGAUUUACUUGGUAAUGCAGGCUCCAAAAUCGCCCAUCUUGGCUCAAACAUGAGCAAGAAGCUGAAAGCCGCCUAUACGCUUAUAGAGCAACUACACACUGGCGCGCAACAAGCUAUCUCUGCUGCCUCGCAUAAAAAACAACCGCCAACCCUCAUCAAGGACACGCUGGAGAAGUUAUAUAUGCUGCCCCAACAGGUUGAGGAUCUUAAACGAUUAGCUACAAGAGCAGGUGCAAUCACCGCACUAACCCGGGCCAAGACGUGGCAAGCAGAUCUUGACCCGGAAGACUUGGCCAAUGGCUACCCCAGUGUAAAGGAGGACGGGUCUCCCUUUAGUCCCAAGGACUUUGCUUCAAUAGCAAGAGAAAUGCGUCCUUUAGCAAGCAAAUUAGCUGAAGAUACUGACCUGUCCCAUUAUCAGGCGGUUUAUGAUGCUGACAACAAGAAGGUUAAAGCGCUGAUUCAUGAAUCCUAGGACCUUACUCCUCGAAUUCGUAAGCACACUUUUGUCCCUGACAUUGACCCGUCCACACUUAUAGGUGACGAGGCUGGAUUCAAAGCUUUGACUGGGAUCAAUUGGGCAACCUCUGACUUCCAGCCAAUGGGUGAAGAGGAAGAGGAUGAACCCGUGCAAGAUGACCCGGAAUCCUCUACACGCCAAGGUCAAGACUAGUAAUCCGAAGGCCGGCUUAACAUCCACCAGUUGAAACACUUGAUCAAAACACUUAUUCUUUUGGGCCAUCUGAUGCCUUGUAGUAGGCUAGUUUGAAAACAAUGAUCUGCCAUGCCAUCGCGCAUGUUGAUUUGCAUAACAUUUAUGAGCCGCUUGAUCUUAUUUGACGAUCCACUAUUUAUGCUCAUAAUCAUUAUCAACUAUGCUGAUCAUGUUGUCAUAAACCCUGCAUACAAACAGAGCACAAGUGCCUUGGUGGUUUACCCCAAGGAGGGUCAUAAUGCCCCAUAUAAAAAACCACUGGUGACUGCAUCGUCCAUAACCAGGGCCAGUUUAUCAAAACCUCAUAUAAUCAUAACAAAAUAAAUAUCAUACAUGUGAUACUUAUGCGUAUUGCCGACUCACCAUGCCACAUGCAGUAAGGGUAACAACCCAAACUCAGAGUGCAGCGCUCUAUGCAAGUUAUUCAUACUGCCGGCUUACAAUGCCAUAGACAGCAAAGGAUAACAUCCCAAAUUUUUUUGGAGUACAGAACUCCAGACAUAUGAUCAUCAUAUACUGGCGACUUGACGUCCAAAGCCAGGCCGGUUUAGCAAAAUGGCCCAAAUCAACUUUCAACCAUAUAUCAAUAUGGUACAAACAGAAAUCACCAAAAAUAUUCAAAGUCAAUAUAAACCAGAAAAACAAGGCAUUCAAAGGCUGCCAAGCCUCAACAUCAAGUGCUAUUCAAGGGCUGCACAACCAGUUACUCCUUAAUUCAAACCUGUAAGCCGGGCCUCACAUGACGAAUCGCCAUUUUAAAUUUGACAAGUUCAGGGUCUUUAUAAGAUUGACUGUUAAGAGUACGACGAGUCAUUCCAAGAUUACAUGGUCAGAGUGGCAAGCAUACAAAGGCAGGAUAACCCGGAUUUUUGGUGAAUACACAUGGCGUCCAAGCCUAUUACGAGGGACAACAAAGCUCUUGUUCAUUUAACAAGAAGCCCCCAAGUAAUAUUUUGAUCCAGGCGUACAAGCCGGACCAGUAGGGUAGUCAUAGCAAUGCUCAAUGAGAAGGAAGUCCCCAAGUAUUUUGCAAUCAAGGCGUACAAGCCCGACCAAAAGGGUAAUCAUAGCUAUGCUCAAUAAGCAGGAAGCCCCCAAGUGACCUUAUGAAGUAACAAUAAAGACUCAGAUUCUCAGAAAUGAAAUGACAAAGGCCCUGAAUCAUCAGGGAUGCCGGCUUUAUUAUACUAAUCAUAAUAUAUACAUUGGUAAAAGUAUGUGCAUCACAAGAGCCGGUGGCUCAGGUGUAAUAAGGCCGAAGAUGAGCAAUAUUCCACAGCCGGUGGGUCUCCUCCCCCGAUGUGCAUGAGUCCUUGUGGUCUCGAACAUCGAUAAGGUAGUAUGACCCGUUUGUCGGGGGAAAUGAACACCUAUGGGAUCACGAGGAUCCCUUCUACGGUUGGCAGGGAGAGGAGUUGCGCAAAGAGCAGGUCUAGUGAUCAGCGCGAGGGAUUUUUACCCAGGUACGGGCCGCACUGGUGCGUAAAACCCUAUCGUGCUUGUGUGUAUAUUAUGUGUUCUUGAGCUCUUGAACUAGCUGCGAUGCAUGCCAAGUCCAAAAAGUCCGAAUCCUCCCUCGGUAUGCCUCGGGCCUCCUUUUAUAAGUCGAAGGGGUUGUGGCACACAGGAGGUGUAAAUCAGCUACAGUGCUUAAGCUUAUCACUAGCAUAGUAGGACAAACACAUUUAAUGCGCUUCCUACGUGCCCUCUAACUUUAUCGGGGGUGGUAACAGAAGCCGUCCCGUCCGUCGCUGCCUCUCCUCGCCUUAACACACGUCUAGGCUGACAAGGCAUGCAACGCUAGGCUAGCUGGCUGCUGCUGUGCUGGUGCGGUGGUAGAGCCUCCAUGAACAUCUGCAUGCCGCCCCGUAGGCGCCUGCCUAGUUGGCAAGCUGGUCGUCGUGCUGGAGUGGUCGUGGGGUGGCAAAAGCCUUGUCGGGAAUGGGCCUGGUUGUGGCCCCGCGAUCGUCCCCGGCAAGGGUCUUUCCGGGCCCUCGCAAUCAUCCCCGGCAAGGUUCUUGCCGGGGGUCUUCGUCUUCUGGCCUCACGUGGGUCCGCAGGUCAGUUUUCACAAGGAUCUGCAUGCUACUAUGCACGCACACCCGAGCCUUGGCUUUGAUGUUAUCAAUGAUGUCAGAGCUCUCAGUCUCAAGGGUGACGGCCUUGCUGGUGCUUCACGGGUUGCCCCGGCAAGGAGCUUGCCGGGGCUACGCAAGCCACCCCGGCAAGGAUGUUGCUGGGGGAGGUCCAGCUUGUCUUCUGUCCAUUGUUCGCUGUCUUGAAUGUUGUCUUGGUAGUCUUGCGUCUUGCCUUCUUCUGCCCCGCCAAGCCCUCCCGCAGGUGUGUCUACGACUGCCCGUGCACGAGUAAGGGGUACAGAAAAGCCCAUACUUUGUACACCGACAGGAGCCCAUGGGCCUGGGCCACACAAUAAAAAGGGAGAGGGGUGGUGCCUUUUCGUACUCACCUCCUUCCUCCCCUUUCUGCCCGAUAUCCUUCUUCCAUUCGCCAUGGUCAGAGGGCGUGCUGGUGCUUCGAUGGCGGCGAUGAGGGCUUCUUCUCGUUAGCGCGUCCCCCCUCCUCUGGAGUUCACCGCGGUGGAGCCCGCUGCAAGAGGGAGAGGGAGGGGGCGAGGCCGAGGUCAUUGUGGCGCUUGGGGAAGAGGAGGACAGGGCAGCGCACCAGCUGCGCCUCCGCCGGUGGCCCCUCCUCCGAUGGAGGGCCAUGUCGGAGACGAACCUCGCGAGUUCUUCAUCAGGCUGUACAAGCCCAUGUGCAACCAUCUCCGCCUCCCUACCCCGUUCGACCGGGUGAUGGAGUAGGACCCGCCGCAGGCUUUGAGGCUGCACAUGGGGAGCUGUGGGAAUGGCAGCAUGUGGGUCGACGUCGACUUCCCCGCCCCUCACAUCAUGUAUCUUCGCCAUGGGUGGAAAAGCUUUGCACGCGCCCAUAGCUUGUCGGAGGGGCACGUUCUUCAGUUCAAAUUAAUGGAGAACAGCCUGCUCUCCAUCAAGGUCUUCGAGAGCUCGGUAAUCCGCUUAGGGUGUUGUGUGGACAGCUUCACCGAUGAUGAAAGCUCCUCCUCGACCAAUAGUGACGAGGAGGACAGCGCCCGCGACGACGACGACAACGGGCGGGAGAAUGAAGACUCCAACUCCAGCUGACACUACAAAAAAAUACACUUCCGUGAUGAUACAUGUUUGUUACAGUAGGUCACGUUUUCUGUCAUUCAUGUACAUCCAUGAUGAUUUUAUGAUAGAAUUAAGAUUGUCAUACCUGUGCUGUCGUAGAAGUGUUCCAUGACAUUACCAAAAUUAUCAUCACAGAAGUGUCCACUUCCACGACGAUAAAUCACGUGUCACCGAAGUGCUUUCAUCAAGGGUGACCGACACGUGGCAUCCAUCGUAAGGGAACGCCGUUAAGCUAUCGGGUCCGGUUUUGGAUCCGAUAACCCGUCAACUGCCCGGACCAAUGAGGAUUUUCCAUGUGUAAAAUCAUCAUUGGCUGGAGGAAACACGUGUCAGAUCCGCGUUGGCACAGGUGUCACUCAUCCAAUGGGCGAGAUGCGCCUAUGAUAUGUUGACACGUGGACUGGCCCAAAAGUGUCCCAUAAAGUUUAAAUGGGCAGGCCCAACUAAAGGCCCACAAGAUUUUACAGACCAUAAUGGGCCGGCCCAGCUAAUGGCCCAUGAGAUUUUGCAGACCAUAAUGGGCCGGCCCAGCUAAAGGCCCACAAGAUUUUGCGGGCCAUAAUGGGCCAGCCCAGGUAAAGGCCCACAAGAUUUUGCGGACUAUAAUGGGCCGGCCCAGCUAAAGGCCCACAAGAUUUUGAGGACACUAGUAGGCCGACCCAUUAAUAGGCUGCCAUGUUUUGGGCCAAAUGUCGGCCCAUAUUUGGUCCGGCCCAUUAACAGCCUGCCACAUUCUGGCCCAUAUGAGAUCCGACCCAUUAAAAGCCUACCUCGUUCUGGGCCAAAUUACGGCCCAGAUCAGGUCGAGCCCUUUAAGAGGCUUUGCGCUAAAUUAUGGCCCAUAUCAGAUUCGGCCCGUCAACUGGACGCUAUGCUUUUGGGCCCACUUGCUAAAGGCCCAUUUAGUAAUUCGUCCAGAUAUUAGUUUCAGCCUGUUAAAGGCUCGUUAAACAUUUUGACCCUAUAUUUAUUUCGGCCUGUUAAAAGCCCGUCAUAUAGUUGGGCCUAACUACGGCCUGGUUUGCAUCGGGCCUGCUCACAGCCGAUAAUCUGAUUGGGCCAAACAAGGACCGAGACAAUUUUGUCCUGUUAAAAGCCUGUGGUUUGAUUGGCACAAUCAUGGGCCGGGGUCCAUUUCAGGCUGCUGCCAGCCCGUGAGCUUUUCGGCACGUUUCAGGCCCAACCUACUUUUCAGCCUCCUAAAAGCCCAUUGAGUUUUCUUGCGAAAUGAGGGACGUCGGUUUACUCGGCCUAUUAAAGGCCCGAAUCUACUAGUGGGCCAGUUUACAUUUAGGCCUAUUAACGAACCAAGAUGACAGGGCCCAUGAUGCGGAUCAUACAUCAUGAUUGCAUGACAACCCGAUUAUGUACCGUAAUUUUACGGUUUGGCCGGUUUACUGCGAAGACAUGAUAUACAGGCCAAAAUUUUGUUUAUGAACUACAUAAUAAACUUUAAACAUGCAAUUUGAUGCAAACACCAAAAAUAAACAUCUGUUGCGGUCAUGCCUAACCAAAUAAGUUUGAAAGCUUGAGAAGGACAAACUUACAUUAUUGGUGAAGACAGGCGCUAUAAAGCCCUUGUCCAUGUUGAUGGGGGGGGGGCAAUUCAAGAAGUUUACCAUAGAAUCUUCUUCAUAAGCAUUGCCUUUAUUCUACAUUUUGUUAAGAGUAAAUAUAGAUGUGAUAAUAUAAGAAAAAAUGGAGAAUAUUUAAGAUAAGAAGAGUGAUGCUACAUAACCAAGUAGCUAUAAAUGUAAGUACAUCAAUACAGGCAAAAGGUACAACCAAGAGCAAUGUAGAGCUAAACUUCUUCAGUACCAUCGGUGUUAUCCAACCUUAUGGUAAGAGUAAAUAUGGAUCUGAUGUGUAGAAAAAGGAGGGCAAAGGAAAAUAAGCUGCAGAGUGAUGGUACAUGAACAACUACCUAUCAAUAUAAGUACACUGAUAAAGGAUAACAAGUACUUACAAGAACAAUGCAGAGCUAAAAAAUUUCAUUGGCAUUGGAUAUAUUCUACACUAAUGUAACCAUUCAUACAUAUCAGAUAAUUUGGAGCGAACAAUUGAUAAGCAAGCUAUCAUGCAUACUGCUGUCACAUAAUGAACCAGGUAUGUAUGCAAGUAUAGUGAUACAGGACAGCAGGUACUAAUAAGAGCAAAGCAGUGGGCAACAUAUUUGCGAUAUCCUGUUGUUCUUUUUAAACCGGAAUUCUUCUUCGAGCAGAUUUCCUGCAAAAAAGAUCCGUAAGGCACAUGCGGAAAAGUAGAAGCUCAAAUUUUCAUGUGAUUUCAUAGACAGUACCUCAUCCUGGGAACGAGACCAGUGCAUAACAAUGUUUUUCCAUUCAGUGUCUUCUAAAUUUAGCAUAGGAGACUUCAACGGAAAUUAAUUUAUAGACUUGCCAUCAAAGUGCGAUUUCCUCAGGUAACACUUAUACUGCUGCAAUUCUUCCGUGAAAAGCACAAGCAAGCUUUGCUCGUCAUGACUAUCCAGAUUGACCCUCGCCUACUUACAACAAUGUAAUGUAAAUCAUUGAUGUGUUCAAUCAGCAGAAAAGAGGAAAAUAAUAACCAUGAAUAAUAGCACUUACACAUAAGUUGGACAGGAAGAUGUGAAAAUGGUGUUUGUCUUCACUAUAAUCUUCCCAUGAAAGCAUUGUCUUUUAAACUAGGAAUAACUGGAAUGGGGUCCCAAUCUACAAGAAUUGGCCGUCUCUGCAGUUGGGAUAGGUCUUCGGCAGGUGGAUUGCUAUACUUUUUGCUGGAGUGGGAUUUUUCUGUGGUACGGCUAGUGCUAUGGCAACUGAAAUUGGUAUACCUUUUGCUGGAGUGCAGGUCCUGUGUGGUGGGGCUAGUGGUGUGGCCAGUGAAGUAUGGGUACAGUCUGCUGGAGUCGGUCCUAUGUUUUGUGUCACUGGUUGUACAACCAAGAUAAGUGGGGUGUUGUCUGAUUUCUCCGGCACCACCAUGUUUUUCAAGGACUUUGCUGGUGCUCCUUCAGGUUUGACAAUCACCCUCUUCCUUUUUGUUGUCUGAUGCACAAGAACAUCAUUUGAGUGAAAAAACAUGGUAUGAUGACAGAUGGAAUAUGUAUUGAUAAUGGAUGGGCAUGGCAUCUCGACAUAUAUGAUGGGUAAACUAAGCAGAUGGCGGUGCAACAAAGUAGAAGAAAUGCAAGACAACAUAUGCAAGAUACACGCAAUCAAUAAAACCUUGCCAAAUUAGAACAGGCACCUUGAUGGGUGAACAUGACAUGCCAUCUGCCUUUGACUCCUCGAGGUUAGAAUAGUCAUUAGGGUCAUAUUCUGAACAAGAAUCAACAAGUGGGGAGCGUAUGAGUUUCAUUGCAUCCAGAAUGGCACUCAAUGCCUUGGUGCCAAUUUUGUAAGUCAUUGCAGUGUUUAGCUUCAAGAGUGGACUGCUGCUAGUGCGACACAAAGCAGCUACACAGACCAUAGUGUAGAUAUAACGGGAAAACCGUAAGCAUUAGUCUAAAAUCAGCAAAGUGGAACUUGCUGGAAUAUAUGUGCUACUAUUGCCGGUACAGCUAGAAAGGCUUUGGAUACUAGCUCUCUUCAACUGAAGGUGCGGUACUGUUAAUAUCAGUGUAACUCUAAAAGGUGACACAGCUCCCCGCAUUUCCUUGCUAUUCUUAUAGGAUUCAAGUGGGCAGGCCACUACAAAUCCUAUCCUAUGUUUACAAAAUCCUACGAAUAUCAAAGAGGCCCAAAGAGUUCAAAGUGUCCAUCACAACCGACCGUAUAGACCUCUACACUGCAAAUGUCCCUGCUCAUCUUCACUACAAGGAACAUACUGUACUACUAUCAUACUCCCUCCGUUCCAAAAUAUAAGUCUUGGUAGAGAUUUCCACUAUGGAUCACAUACAGAUGUAUCCAGAUACAUUUUAGAGUGUAGAUUCACUCAUUUUUUCCAUAUGUAGUCCAUGGUGGAAUCUAUACAAAGACUUGUAUUUAGGAACGGAGAGAGUACUUAUUAAAGAAGAACGGAAGAGGAACAUGCUAAAGAAGAGCAAGCAGAUUUUGGAUAAUAAAAUGUUCGUUGUGCAGUGCCCACACAUGAUGAACCAGAGCGCAUUAAGAAUGCAACUCCCCGCUGUCUCUCGACCAUUUCAGGCGGUUGGAUGAAGAUCCUACGUCUCCUAACCCUUCUUCUUCCUCAUCUCUGAUUCUUCCCAUACAGAACACCGCACGGUCCGCCGGCCGGACCACCGCCCCCCACCGUCUGUGUUCCUCCGCCAUCCCACCCCCACCCUCGCCCCCACCCGUGUCGAGUUUUCUUCGUUCGGCGAGGGCUGACCACCGCCCCCACAACCACCGUCCCCACCCGAGCCCCUUCCUUCGCACCGGCGAACUCUGAAAAAUUGACAUACCCAAUUUUGAAAUUUAGUCUACUGUGAUUUAACUAGUGUGAAAUAUAAAAGGGGAAAACCAUAAGCAUUGGGAGUAUAGUGUUGAGUGUGCCAUGGCGGAUCUGAAGGUGCAAACCGGACAAAGGCAACUUCACAACCAAUGUUUGCUUUCAACUAGCAAGUAAGUGAUAGACAAGAAAUCAGAGUAAAGCAGUGGUGAUCUAUUUUCUUGCUGUGAUAAAUUAGUGGACGAUGGCGGGGAUGAAGCGAGAGGACGGGAUGCAAGGAUCCCGGUCUGAAGCCGUGGAUGAGAGAGGUCGAUCUCUUGUAAUGGACGGCGGCGUCGGGGUAUCAGCUCCGGCAUGGUGGAGGAGGACGGCGGUGGAUGGGGUGGCGGACGGAGGAGGCUGGGGUGGAGAGGGUGUUUUGGCACCCACGGAGUAAGAAUGGGGAAAUGAAGGUAGAGAGGAAGGGGGGAACCAUGUCUUCAGGGCGCGCUUGUCUCAAAUGCGAGGAAAUUUACAAACUUAGCCCCCGUUUCAAAUUUCCUACGUCACAACAAUAUUAGUCGGUUGGGGAUAGGACGAUAAUCUCGCAUACACCAAAUAUUUGCCGACGAGAGUUUCUUUUUGGCACCCAACGUGUAUGAAUCAAGGAGGGAUUCGAUUUCGGCCGAGGACACACUGUGUUUUGGCGCCCACCAUGUAUGAAUCCGGGUGAGAGGCGGUUAUGUCACGUUUGAGUGAAAUUACAAACCUACCCCUAUCGAAACCUAUAGAAAUCAAGCAGAUAGGCUUUGCGUGGCAGGGAUAGGCAGUAGUAAUUUCCAUCUCGCAGAUUUUGGUUUCGGGCGGUUACUGCGGCUUUCCCCGCUUCAUUCAAAUUUUGCAGAGUAAACGUUUACCGUGCCAACUCAAUUCGAAUCCCGUUUGUAUUCUAUUUUUUUCGGGCAGGAUCCAUUUUCAAUUGGAAUAAAAUCCUACAUACAUCAUUUUUUAUAUAUACUUUCAAAAGCACAACAAAGAAUUCUUCUCCUUUAUAUGUAUAAUAUGAUUUACAAAUACAAUGAUCUCAAAAUCAUAAGGUUGAAUUUAGAAAAGUUAAACCAAAUUAUGUUCUACUAAAAUGUAUGGAUCAGUAAUAUCUACAUAUUAAAUAACAUAGAUGCGCGUGAAUUCAUAUGAGUAUGCAUGUUUGAUAGAUCAAUUUUGGUUCGAGUAUGGAUUACAUGUAUCAUCAUCUCGAAUUCAAAUAUUUGAAUCCCUUUUAUGUUCACUCCUUUCACGCCCAUCUCUCUCGCAUGCGUGCUCCUUCAUGUAGCUAUCACCCUCUUUUCUCCAGCUCACCCGCACGCUCACUUCAUGUUUCUCCUAUCCUCGCAAACAUGGUCUCUCGACGUCUCCCUUGAGAAGUGUCACACUCUCCCUAUCAUUAUACAUUACACGGUUUUCAUUAUCUCUCACGUCUCUACCGUUCCCUGGCAUCACUAGGUACAUAAGCUUUCUUUUUCACCGCCACACACACAGUCUCCACUCGUCUUUCACUUUGUGUUUCUCUCUAUGGGAUUCUCUCACACACCCUAUAUGUCUCUAGAUAUGACUCAUACCACUAAAAUUACUCUCUCUCUCUCUCCUGUAGACACAACAUUUGUUGUGGUCUCCUUUUUGUCUCCAUCCCAGACUGACAUUAUUCAUUUGUUUACCGACCCGACAAACUCCCCCCCUCUCUCUCACACACACAACUCCUGCUUCCACUCCCCCUCCCGACUACCGUCUCUCUCUCUCACACAAAACUCUCGCUUUCGCACCCCCGAUUGUAUCUCUCUCACAAACAUUUAUCGACUAGCCUCUAGAUAGGUUUAUAUACCCGCACACUCGUGCUUCCACUAUCGCAUACAUGUGUCUCUCCCGCUCCUUGUAUCUAUGUAGAUUCUUCUUCCCUUCUUGAGACACGCCCUCUCGAUCGUGCACACACACACUAUCGCCUCAUUUUAAGCUGAUACCUCUCGCACACACACUCUUGUGUCUUUGUCACACAUGCACUCCGUCUUCCUCCUCUCUCCCUCUCUUCGCUCUCACACACAUGGGCUUUUUGCAACAACUAGCAAGAUGCCCAUGUGUUGCACGGAACAUCAAGAUGCAUUUGUAUGAGUAGUUUAUCUUGUGGGAGAAAAGGAUGAACGAGGGAAGGCCUUAUUUGCAAAUGUGGAGAGGGGUGUGGGUAUCAUUUUGCAAAAUUGCCAUAGUUUCCUUCCUAUCCGUCAGAUAUAGAUCGGACGGCCUAUAUUGCAAGAUGGCAGGCACGCGAUCAUCACCGAUUAUGCUUUUUAUAAGAGUAGGGAUAAAAACAGAGUUGGUGAUGAUGGUGGGCCUACCAUCCUACAAUAUAGGCCGUCUGAUUUAUAUCUGACGGAUAGGAAGGAAACUAUGGCAAUUUACCCGCACUCCUCUCCACAUUUGCAGAUAAGGCCUUCCCUCGUUCACCCUUUUCUCCCACAAGAUCUUGAUGUUCUGUGCAACGCACGGGCAUGUUGCUAGUAAGAGUAGAAAUUAGAUAUAUACCACUUCUCGAAUCUUGAAACCAACAACAUUCCUCCCUUAUCUCAUCAAAACCGCCAAAGGAAUAUAUUUUGAGUGAAACAUAACAUAUUUUUAGUGAUAUACGUAUUUCAAAACUAGACACUUUUUUCUAUCAAAUUGGUGAAUAUGUAUUAAAUCUACUUUGAUCGUGUGGCAACGCAUUGGCACAUUGCUAGUAGUUAUUAUAAUUUUCUGGACACCAGACAAACGGUGGAGUACAUAUACGAAGAGAAGAGGCACACACACGCAGUCGGUCUCUCGCUGUCUCGCACACAUGAGAGUUACGUAAAGGCACCGUUAACAAAUAAACCCUAAAACCCUAGGUGCACGAUUGCUGCAUGCGCGGGUACCAGGUACGUGGUGGAGCGCACCUUUGUAGGAAUAGUCAGCUCGCGUGAUAAUUUGAUCCGUAGGAGCUGAUGGUCGGGACCACAGGCGAACGACUUGGUGGCGGUGGCUCGCCAGUUGCCACAGAUCGAGUAGCCAUGUUUAAAAUAUCAUUUUUAGCGGGGUUAAGAGUUCCGAUUUUCAAUGGUGCGUUAUAAGUACUAAGUAGUUUUUAGAACUAGUGGUAUGGAGCAAAAAUGGAAUUCAUAACUACUGCUACGUACCUCCUUGGCGUAUGGUUGUCUGGGUUUAUGUUGCGAGAUGUUGAACCUGGUAGUUCUAGGGUAAAUACUAUGGUUUAGAUGUUGGUUUUCAGUAAUGAAAAUCGGAAGGGGGAAACCCUUCUUUGAUAAAAAAACUACUACCUCUGUUCUGGUUUACUAGUCCCCAUCGUAUUUUGGGUCAAAGUUUGUCCAUGAAUUUUACUUGUAAAAUGUGAAUGGAAAACGAUAUUUUGUUAUACCCAAACAAAAAAGGACUGGAGGGAGUGAUUGCUCUGACACGGAUGCGACCUCUCAUAGCGCAGGCAUUGAACCGGCGCGCGGGCCAAGAGGGCCCCACUCACUGCAGGCCCAGCUGAACACGCCUCCUCGCCACAUGCAACCGGCUUCAGACUGACCUGCUUGCCUUCAUUGAAUCCGCGCCUGUGCCGGCAACACGUCCUUCCACGAGCCGGCCAGCAUUUUAGAACACAAAAAAUGACCAAAAUAUAAUUAAUUACGCAUGGUCUUGACUUGUUGUGCUUGCAUUGGUAGCAAGAACUAGAGGUUUUUCUUUAUUUAUAACUCUCCUCACAUUUUUUUGGCUUUGAAGUGAAUCAUGGUUAUGGACAUUAUCUAUGAAUGUGAAGAUAUCUGUGAACUUGAGUUUGAUGUGGAAGUUGAACUUGGAAUGUCGGGCUUGCGCGUGAACUAUACCAUGUCCGAUGCUUCGUCUGUUAUUGUUUGGAAAGUAAUUGCUGUUAUUACAUGACCCAAAAAAUAUACAUUUUAUGCCACAUCAGUAGAUGCACGGACAUCACAACAGGCAUGCUGACUGGAUAAACAUUUGAACCUAGCUAUUAUGAAGGAAAUUUUGUAUUGACAACAGUUUUAGAUAGUAGGAGACGCCUAGCCUGCUCUGCCUCUACUAGCUAAUUUCUGGCUUCUUCCAUCUCUUGUUUGGCUUGGGUGAAGAGAGCAUCUGAUUGCUCUUUUCGCUUCUUCAGGAACUCAACUACAUUCUCAAGGGCUGCUGCACGCUUUCUUUCAGCCUUUACUAGAGCCACGAGGAUACGAACAGCUGACGAAUCCACCUGGCUUGUGUGUAAUCCAGCAUCAUCUGGGAAUUUGCACCUUGUGUCUAAACCAACAUCAUUAUGGAACUGGCACCUUGUGUGUAAUCCAGCCUCAUUUUGGAAACAUGAUCUCUAGGUUGACCAUACUUCCCUCCUCGCAGGAACUGCAUCCUGACAUGAAGUUACUUUUUUUUAGAUCAGUACUCAGAGCAACCCAGAUCCAUUUAGUAGAGGCCAGAUAAACAGGACUCGGAGAAGUGAAUUCAAAAGGAAAAAUAAAAUAAAAUAGAGUACAAGGUGAGAACACCCACUUCCUACAUCAAGCUAAAAACGAAAGCAUUAAGACGAUUAAGACUCUUCUUAUUACACAUCGAAGAACAUGAGGCUAAGAGAAACAGAAACUACAUCAUAUACACAUCAAAGAACACGAGGCUAAAUGAAAGUAAUUGAAAGGGUGUUACUUACCAAAGCUCAUUUUACAGGUUCGGUGCAGCUCCUCUUUAACUUGCCACGCUCCUUGAAGAUGUCCCCAAUAUCCCGUGUUUGGUCUUCAUUGCUCCUCUGCAUGUCCGCACUCGUGGUUUUAAAAUCUCAACAUGGCAAGAAAAAUAUACUACUAGUAAUACUCACGCAUCUUGUGGGCAACAUUAAAGCACUCGUCUGCCAUGUUAGAGCAUCUCCAACAGAAUCGCCACACGCGGCGCCUUAAAAAAGCGUUUAUAGUGCUGAGAUCGAGAAGUAGAGAUAGAGAGUAGAGACUAGAGAGUAGAGGAUAGUUCUCAGCAUAGAUAGAUAAAAAAAUAGAUAAGUCAAUUACUCCUCGUCGUCAUACUCCUCCUCGGUGAUGUCCUCCUCCGACGUCUGACUGUAGGCGUGAAGAUACCGAUCGUCGUCAGAUUCCCAGGGCGACACUGCUCCUAGCCUCAUGUUGAAUUGAGCAUCCGCUUUUCGCCUGCGCUUGUCCUCGUGAUAGGCGGAUUGCUCUGCCCUCCUCUUCUCCCUCUUCGCCCUACUUUGCGUGUAGAACUCAUGCUCGUUGAUGAUGUCCUGCGGGAAGCGUUGGCGCCACAAUGCCAUGGCCUCGUCGUCCAUCUCGGCGAUGCCGAGACGGUGCUCCCGCCUCCGGUUGUCGCGACGAUCCUCGUCGGUGAUAAGCCGCGGCUGAGGCGUGAGCUCCUGCGCCCGCUCCUGCGUUGGCACAUUGGGGAAGUUCAAUGUUGUAUGAGGCCACCGGAGGCGCCACGCCGCCGCGUCGUAUGCGCGGGCGGCCUCAUUGGCGGUGUCGAAAUUGCCGAGGCCGAGGUGCAUCCCGCGGAACCGGAUCUCGGCGGAGAAGCCGCCGGAGGGGCGCGCGCGGACGCGGCGGUAUCCCCAAUUUUCCCGGCGACAUGGUAGCAUGGUGGCGCGGCAGCGAGGCGAGAAAGUGGGGAGAGAGCGGUGGCGAGGCACAGAGCGGGGAGAGAGCGGAGGCAAGGCACAGAGCGGUGGGAGGGCGUUGGAUUUUAUAAAGCGCGCCGGACGCCGCACGCCAAAACUAGCGCACGCCAGGCCCCUUUUUCCCGCGUGUGUGCGAUCCUUUCCCGACAUCCCUGCUAUCUCUAUAGUUAUAUUUAUUUAAUAUUUAAUAUUUAUCUCUACUUCUCUACUCUCUACUUUUUUUUCUCUACUCUUAUAAAAAAUAGAGUUGGUGAUGAUGGUGUGCCUGCCAUCUUGCAAUAUAUGCCGUCCGAUUUAUAUCUGACAGAUAGGAAGGAACAAUGGCAAUUUUGCAAAAAGAUACCCAAACCCCUCUCUAGAUUUGCAAAUAAGGACUUCCCUCGUUCAUCCUUUUCUCCCAGAAGAUAAACUACUCAUACAAAUGCAUCUUGAUGCAUGCAACGCAUGGGCAUCUUGCUAGUUCUAAAAAACUUUCCAUCAUUUGCCACACUAUUGGUUGUAGAUGAAGAACCUACCCAAGCACAGUGCGAUACAGGAGCGACGCACAAUUACAAGCCGAUAUUCUGUUGGACAAUGGAGGCUAUAACCAAUUACUUUUACGGGAACAAUAGCAACCAUGAAAUUUGAAGGGUAGGUAUUUGAAGGGUAGGUAUGAACAAAAUUGGAACCGCACAUGUACUGCUAAGUGAUUCAAUACACACAUUACCAAUCGAGGAGGAGAACAAUGGCCGCGGCGGCCUCUGUGCAUCAUGGUCGGCAACGGCAGUCAGUUCAUUGUCCACGACGAUGGUGCUUCUGCGCUUGGCAUCGACUUCCGGGAAGCAGAUCCGAGACCGUGGAAGACGGUGCUGGGGAAGAGGCUGCAUGUACGACGACGACGGUGGAACGGCUCCAGUGCGGUGUAUGAGGUCGUCGAUGAGGCAGAUGCACUGUGGUGGACGAGUGCGCUGAUGUAGAAGGGGAGGAGCACGAAGGCUGCGGUGCUGUGGAGAAUUCUAUUUUGCGGUGGGGAUAGAAAAUGGGGAGUAUUCUGGUGUACUACUCUGGGUUCCGGGGUGGGUUGGAUCGGUAGGGUGAACCUGAGGUUACGAAAACAGCCCCCUACCAAGCGUCAUCCGUAGGCCUGUUCGAAGGCUACGAUGGUAACUUCCCACUGCUCGAAUCAGGGUCGUGGGAGAUUUUCGUGCCGACCUCAAAAUUUUGUGACACUGAACUCCCUGUGUGGCGUGCUGGGUGAUUCGGUUAAGCAACUAGCGAGUAGUACUAGUAACUACUAGUACUCCCUCCAUUUUUAUUAACUCUGCAUAUCAGGUUUGACUGAAGUCAAACUUCCUAAAGUUUGACCAAGUUUAUAGAAAAAUAUAAACAUUUACCAUAACAAAUAGGUAUGAUGUGAAAGUUCAUACAAUAAUGAAUCUAAUGGUAUUUAUUUGUUAUUGUAUAUGUUAAUAUUUUUUGUUAUAAACUUUCUGAGAGUUUACAAAACUUGACUUUGACCAAUGCUAAUACGCGGACUUAAAUAAAAGCGGCGGGAGUACACAUUUGUUUUCUUAGUUUGUAGUGAAUUAAUCAUUUGUUGAAAUUGCGAAAUAAAUAUAUUAGGCUACUGACAUCGAAUGUAAUGGUCUAUACAAUUCAAUAGUUACAAUCAUUGUUGAAUUCCAAGAUGUAUACGAGGUCUAUAGUACUUCACGACAUGCUCAAACUCACAUAAUCCCACCCAAAUGAGAAUCUAAAUGCAUUUCAUAGUUAUUACUUUGUAGGAUGCAACAAAACCAACCAUAACUCUACAUCCUGUGCUAUGUGUGCUGUGUGUGUGUGUGUGUCAGAUAUUGAGAGAAAACAAACCUAAGGAGAGAAAUGUGUGUGUAUGUGACCGAAAGCUACAUGCUAAACAUGGUAUUCACGAAGAGAUUGUGCGUGCGAGAUAGAGAGCGAUGUGCGGGCCUUGAGGUGGGCAGGGGCCGGGUGAGUGUGUCAAAAUGUGCGCGUUGAUGCACGUGUUACAUGCGAUCAUGCGAGGGACGGACGGAUCGAGAGAGAUGGUUGUUGUGUUACAAAUGAUCCUCUCUCUCUCUCUCUCACACACACACAUACACAAGUAAAAUAGAAGAUCGUUCUCUCAUGUAUGCACAACGUAUUGGCAUCUGUCUAUGUCUCACUCAUGCAUGAUCAUUUGCACAUUCACACCUCUCUGUCUCUAUCACACGCACACCAUCUCCACAUUGCCCUUCUGCCACAACACACAUAUGGACACAUACACACAUUCUCUCUCAGUCACACACACACACACACACAAAAUCAGUAUUAGAAAAACUAGGGCGCACCUAAAACGUCCAAAUCCAAAUAAACAUGAACUGGAGCUAAAUUCAAAUAUAUGGAAAUAUUGUAGCGUCAAGAACAUUUCCAGGAAAAAAAAGUUGAGUAAUAUUCGGGGAUUGUUUUCAGACACACAAAAAGGUUCGGUGGAUGUCCUUCGAGCGCGACACGGUGACACACCGUUCAAUCGACCGCACGGCCGCGGUUCAUGCGCUUGCACAGGAUUCCGUAUCGUGGCUGUGGUAACUAAUAUAAGCGCUGCCUUAGUCUAAAGUUUACGUGUACUAGUAUGGUUUUCUUUUAAGUUUGACCAACCCUAUAUAAAACUAAACUAAGCUCCCAUACGCGCACUCAUCAAUAUGCCGCCGCCGCCGUUGCGCAUGCCGACGCGCGCCUGCUCCGGCCAACAAUUUCUCGCCCAUCACCGCCGUGUCACCGCCAUCCCUGUGCCAUGAAGCCAAAGGCUCGCCCGCUCACAUCGUGUGCAGUCCCUACUCGCGAUGCCGCCGUGCUGCCAAGCACGCGAGCAGCUGGUGGAGCCGUGUCUAUGCACGCAGUGUACGAAGAGGAGGACGAGCGCGUGCUCCAGCACGCCAGCGAGGAGGAACUAGCAUGUCAUUGUCGUCUUCGCCCGCGCGGAGGAGGCGCGCAUGGUGGCUGUCGCGGAGGAAGCCGGUCGCACCCACGCCGAGCCCGCAAACCGGGUGUGGACGCGGAAUCUACCUUCGAGACCUUGAAUGCCAGAUGCAUCCUGCAAUCUGAAGGAGCAAUUUGGGUUAGUCGACUCUUGUGAGCCGUUGGAUGCAACAUGGAUGGCUAGAAGGGCUUCUUCAACCUCCGAAAUUGAUGCACGAUUCAUCUUCUCAGCCUGCCACAUGCCUAACUGCCUGCCGCCGCCGCCCCGCCCUCCCCUGAACCGCCUGCCACCGCCAUGCUCCCCCCACCCCCGCCAUCCGUUUAACCCCGGGCACGAUCUAUUUUUCCGGUGAACCGCAUUCCACACCAAACACUCAUAAGAUAGAUCAUGGGCACCCUACCACCCGAAUAUAGAUAAUGGGGUAGCUUCUCUCCUGUCUUCUUCCUUCGCUCCAUCAAACUUCUUUCACAAAUUGACUGACCCAAAUUAUACUACUAGUAUGAACGUAUUAAGUAUAGUAGGAACAUGAAGAUACGAGCAGUAGUACCAACUGCAAGAAGAACAGUAGUAAGACAUAGUACUAGUACUACUGUACGUACUACAGAGUUCAAAUAACAAGAAAGAGCAUAAAUUUCAAAUAAGGAGAAAGAACUUAAACAUAGUUCUGCUGGGGGCUCAACGCAACACACCCCUGAAAAUAAACUAAGCAACUAGUCUGCUUGACACUGCAGUAGAACUAGCAUGAGCGACGGCACUGCCACCUUACUCGGAGUUCGAGUCCACGUCCUCGACUUCGUCCUCGUCCCUCUUCCUCUUCCUCUUCGCCGAUGCUUCUUUGCUUGAACCGGACACUGGGCUCUACUUCUUCAUCCAUCCCUUGUAGAUAUUUAAACAAAGGUAGGCAUCCAUUGCUGCGUACAGGAUGUGAUCUUCAUCUAAUGUCUUCGACUCCCAUGCAUGAUGAAACUCGUGGUGAGGUUUCUUCAGUUUAGCGUCUAAAGGAUCAAUCAUGGCAGCUGCCAGGGUCAGCAUUGAAGGCUGAGAUGAGGACACCAGGCUUGCCUUUUGGAGAUCAAAUGGGUUGCCUACAACGAGGCCUAUCCGACCUAGGAUAUCCCUGUCGUUCCUAAAGUCUACAGUAAUGAAUUUCACUCUUUCGUCCUUGAGGAAGUUCUUAAAAUCCUGGCACUCAAUGUCGGCAUGGCAUAUGUGGUAGACCAAGAACAUGUUAUGUACGCAAACCUGGAUCACGGCGAGCUUCUUCUUCUCUGCCUCCUUUAGAAUCUUCUCUCUUUCCAGGACUGUGGUGUACUCAACAUCUAGCCCAGCGACCCACUCAUCUGUUAAACUAUUGAACAUGCGUAGGAAGCGAGCAAGGCAUGCUUUCACCGUCGCGGAUCCACAUGUGUAGAUGACGAUGAACUCAUUUCUGGUGAUGGCUCUAACCUGGUACUCAGUGGCGACCAUGGAGAUUUGGGACGCCAUGGAUUUUGGAGGAGGGUUAGGAGAAGUUAAACUGGUGUAAUGUGAAAGGAUGGGACGACUGGGAGCGAACUGUUGUAAGGUACUGUACUAAUAGAAGACCGGGACGAGUAGAGCGUGCGAACGACAUGGGGUUAUUGGCUUGCCCAGUGGAUAAAUAGCUGCAAGCCCCCAAAGAGUUCUCGAGUACUAUGAAGGACCCACUAGAUGUCAUGUCUACUAGACCCAUAUCGUAGGCUUGACGGUAUAGCUUCUGCCUGUUCGCACACCAUGCCGGCGCAUGGAUGUAACUUCACUUAAUUCCGUCAACCGUCGUGCCUCCCAUGACCUUCUCCUCCUUCGCGUGGUCACACCCUUUGAGACUUCAACCGGCUCUAAAUGAGCAAUUUUUUUGCCUACUCCGCAUGCAUGAUACUCCCUCUGGUCCUUUUUACUUCUGUCAACCGUUUGCAAAGUGUUUGACCAAAUUCAUACUAAAAAUAUCAAUAUCUAUAAUACUGAUUAUAAUGAGUAUAAGAACUACGUUUUAUAAUGAGUAUAAAAAUAUUAAUUUGACAUUGUGAAUCUUGAUACAUUUUUCCAUAAGUUUGGUCAAAGUAGAGGUACAUUGACUUCAGACAAAACUUAAAUGCACAAUGCAGACUAGUUCCUCCGUCCAGGUGUGUGCCAUGUCCUAUCUUGUCAUCACAACAAGGUUAGCUAUUAGAGUACUACUACCUCCCUUCUAGUUUACAGGUCUCGAUUCAAAAAUUUCACCUACUCUUAGCAAGAUACAGGCGGUGGCAUAGUUUUUGUAGUCUGCAAAAGUACUCAACCAAUGCUAUCGUUCUUCACAAAAAAUGUGUUUACCAAUGCAUGCAUGAACACUAGUUACUCUAACCCCCCUCUUCUUUAAUUCUUUUCCACAUCAGCAUGUUUGCUAUUCCCGUGUGCAUGAUACCAGCUAAGAUACCACCAUUAUGGCCAGCCUUAAUCAUCGCAUGUAAUAAUUUAGUGCACCUUGAAAUAUGAACAUGUGUGGGGCGUGUAUGUUUUUAAUGACUUGAGAUUAUACCUAGCCUGGCAUGCAAGAUGACUUAUUAUGCACCGUUCCCCAUACCUGCAGGAAGCCCGUUCGUCUCCAAAUCUUUUCCUCUUCAUGUGUGGAAACAAUAUGCCUGCCAGACUCUCCUUCUCCUUCCGGCGGUCCAAUCACUCCACCCCGUGUGGAAAAAAAAUCUGCAUGCAUGACUCUCCUCCCCCCGUGCUCGUCCAAUCCGUUGUGACCAGCAAUAUUUCCACCCCUUCCCUCCCCCGUAAUUUACUCCAACAAAUAUGCCCACGUAGCUGUUAUGUUAAUCACGCAACAUAUCUUACGGGACGCUGCUUUAGUUACUUAACUGAAGGUGCAUUGGGUCACUGACAUAUGGGCCCAACAGGGGUCUGGCCCACAUGUUAGUGAUGCAACUGGACCUGCAGUUAAGUCAGUGCAGCUUAGUCCAUAUCUUACAUAGGUGUGCCAUUGUUUGCUAUAAAUACUGUGCCUACCACGACAUUCAAAAGAACGCUCACGUUCAUCGCUAUCUCCUCCCCUCCCUCUCACGUCGACCACCAUGGCAUCGCCCCUCCCAAGCCCUAGGCGCCCCUCACUGUACCGCGUGGACGGUUGAGGGAGUCUUGGAUUAAGGGGUCCUCGGACGGCCGGACUGUUGGACUAUGAAGAUGCAAGAUUAAAGACUUCAUCCCGUGUCCGGAUGGGACUCUCCUUUGCGUGGAAGGCAAGCUUGGAUAUUCAGAUGUCUAGAUUUCCUUCUCUGUAACCGACUCUGUGUAACCCUAGCUCCCUCUGGUGUCUAUAUAAACCAGAGGGUUUAGUCCGUAGGACAGGAACAAUCAUAAUCAUAGGCUAGCUUCUAGGGUUUAGCCUCUAUGAUCUUGUGGUAGAUCAACUCUUGUAAUACUCAUAUCAUCAAGAUCAAUCAAGCAGGAAGUAGGGUAUUACCUCCAUCGAGAGGGCCCAAACCUGGGUAAACAUCGUGUCCCCUGCCUCCUGUUACCAUUAGCCUUAGAUGCACAGCUCGGGACCCCCUACCCGAGAUCCGCCGGUUUUGACACCGACAUUGGUGCUUUCAUUGAGAGUUCCACUAUGCCGUCCCGAUAAGGCUUGAUGGCUCGCCUCAUUAUCAAGGAUAACAUUACCUCCGGAGGAUCCUUGGCUGUAGGCCAAACUCUCCGGCUAGGCGAUUUCGUCAUGGCCGCCCGUUCGGCCGUCGCGCUGACGAUGACAUCGCAGGUCAUCGAAAACAACCUCCGCGUCAGCCCGGAGUUCACCGAGCAGAUGGAUCCAAUGGAGCUCUCCUCCUUGAACGAGCUCUUGGAUCACAUCGCCUCCCUGGGGGGUCUCAAUGGAUUAUGAUCGGAUCGGGCUUAAACCUGACCUAAGGGAGAUUAACUCUCCCCCCUGUCACCCAUCAGAUAGCGGUGGUGAAGGAACAAAACGACAAUUCUUCCUCUAUUUUGAGGACGAACUAUGUCCACAUUCCCGAGCUCUCUGAGCCGGAUACCCGUUUACAGGAGAACGUGGCCCAGGCUCCGAACUUAGAAUCGGAUAGUGGGCCAGAAAUAUUGGGCAAUAUCUUGGAGCCUGAGCUGCCAAGCUCAGGAGGUCCUUCGCCCCAAGGUUCCAGAUUGGGUCAGGACGUGGACUUAAUUUCGCCCACCCACACAGAUGCAAGCGAUCCUUCCCAUAUUAGACAAGAGCCCCAAGAUACAGUACACCACUUCUAGGCCAGAUUCCUCCUUGUAAUGAGCAAGGUUAAGGACUGUCACGAGGAAGACACAAUCUCAUUCUUUUGCAAAAAUUGCACGGACAGGGGAAUUCUCAAUGCCAUAAGUCGCCGUGACAUAGCACACUUUGCCGACCUGGCGGCCAUAGUACAGAAGUACUGCGCGAUGGAAAGCGCCUGGAAGACCCAAACAAAAUUUUGGGAUCCCCGGGCCCUAACUAAACCCCUCGUCCGAACUAAAAGGGUGCGCUUUCGCAAGUCACCUAAUAGAAUUACAAAGAAGCCAAAGCCCUAUGCAGGGCGUGGAACCGUACUGGAGGAAUGGCUCAAUAGGCCGUGCAAAAUUCACAGCACACCGGACACCAUACCAACACAUAGCCUUAGAGCAUGUUGGAUACUCCGGCAGGUGGCCAAGAGCGGCGAGGACCUUCUCAUCAACAAUACCGCAGUGCACCAUCCCGCAGGAAAUAACAAUACAGUACUUACCGUCUUCGAGACUUUGCCUCAAACAACAGGCGCAAGCGAGCACUCCGAAGCCUCGCUGAAAUCUGCCACGUCGCAGCAAUAAACCCGUGGAACGACACGGCCAUAACCUUCAACGCCAACAACAAACCUCAAUUCCGAACAGUCCAAGCACCAGCCGCUUUGGUCCUUAGUCCAAUAGUAGACGGAUUCCGGCUUACUGAAGUGCUGAUGGACGGUGGCAGCGGAUUAAACCUCAUCUAUGAGGAAACUCUUAACAAAAUGGAAAUAGAUAAGAGCCGCAUUGAGCAAAGCAGCACGACCUUCAGGGGAAUCAUCCCUAGUCAGGAGGCACGAUGCGCAGGGAAAAUCACAUUGGAUGUAGUAUUCGGCACACCGGAGAAUUAUCGGUCCGAAGAAAUCACAUUCCAAGUGGCCCUAUUUAGCAGUGGAUAUCAAGAGGAUGAGACGCAUUCGCAAGCUUCCAAGCUAUACCCCAUUAAGGGUACAUGAAGCUCAAGAUGUCGGGGCCCAAUGGGAUCAUCACUCUGGCCAGUGAUCCGGACAUAGCAUUCCGUGCCGAAAAUAAAACUGCCGCAGUAGCCCUGGAGGCAUUAUCCGAAGCCCUCGCAGCCGAAGAGUUAACUGUGCUACGCUCCAUAGUGGACAGGGACGACGUGAUACUUGACAAAUGACCCAAGUCCACCUCUUUCAAACAAGCAGACGAAAUAGUCAAAUUCUAGGUCCACCCAACGGACCCUACAAAAACAACAUCAAUUGGGGGCACAGCUGAACCCCACAAUAGAGGCCGCACUACGAGAGUUCUUGCGCGAGAAUUGGGACAUUUUCGCCUGGUAUCCUUCACACAUGCCAGGUAUCCCAUGCAGGCUGGCCAAACAUAGCCUAAACAUACUAAAGGUAUACAAGCCGGUCAAACAGACUCUUCGGCGCUUUUCAGAACCCAAGCGACAAGCGAUGGGAGAAGAGCUAGCCAAGCUACUUGAAGCGGGAUUCAUCAGAGAGAUAAAACAUCCGUACUGGCUAGCAAACCUGGUGAUGGUACCAAAGAAGGACAAAUCGGCGCCUAUGCGUCGAUUUCAAAGACCUCAAUAAGGCGUGCCCUAAGGAUCCCUUCCCCCUCCCCCGCAUCGAUCAAAUUAUCGAUGCUACCGUAGGACACGAUUCAUUGUGUUUCCUAGAUGCAUACUCCGGAUACCAUCAAAUCAAGAUGGCGGAGUCCGAUCAAGCCGCAACAACAUUUAUCACCCCAUACGGUCCCUUCUGUUUGAACACCAUGCCUUUCGGGCUCAAAAAUGCCGGUGCAACCUAUAAACGCAUGAUUCAGACAUGCCUGGAAACACAAAUUGGCAAAACAGUGGAGGCUUAAAUAGACGAUGUGGUCAUUAAAACCAGACAUGUCGAAUCAUUAACAGACAACUUGAGGCUUACGUUCGACAAUCUCCGAACAUACGACAUCAAGCUCAACCCGGAAAAAUGCGUUUUCGGCGUACCAGCCGGAAAACUCUUGGGCUUUAUUGUCUCAAAUAGAGGAAUCGAAGCAAAUCCGGCUAAAAUCCGAGCCACAGUUGGCUACCCCAACAGACCUCAAGCAAAUCCAGAAAUUAACUGGAUGCGUGGCCACCCUAAGCCGCUUUAUCUCCCGAUUAGGAGAAAAGGCGUUACCUCCUUAUCGCCUUCUUCGAUGCACCGAACACUUCGAGUGGACGGAUGCGGCUACGGCGGGGCUGGAGGAAAUAAAAUCCCUCUUGGCCACCAAUCCAAUUCUGGCAGCGCCAAAUGUUGGCGAACCCAUGUUGCUAUACAUAGCUGCAACACACCAGGUUGUAAGUGCAGUGCUCGUCGUCGAAUGAGAGACAGAUGGACAUAAAUUCCCGUUACAAAAGCCGGUAUACUAUGUAUCCACUUUCCUCACUCCAUGCAAGUCACGGUACCCACAUUAUCAAAAGAUAGCAUACGCAGUCUUCAUGGCAUCCUGAAAACUAUGACACUACUUUCAAGAGUGUUCAAUCACGGUGGCCUCCGAAGUACCACUCAAUGACAUAAUAAAUAACCGCGAUGCCACAGGCUGGAUUGCAAAAUGGGCUAUUGAGCUCCUCCCAUUCGACAUAACAUACAAGCCUCGGCGGGCCAUUAAGUCGCAAGUACUGGCCGACUUCGUCACCGAAUGGACAAAAUCCAAACUCCCUAAAGAGUACAGCGCGUACUCCAAUUGGAUCAUGCACUUUGACGACUCUAAGAUGCUAGCUAGUCUAGGGGCUGGCGUCAUCCUGACAUCCCCCACCGGAGAUAGAGUCCAGUACGUACUCCAAAUACUUCACAUGGACUCCAACAAUGCAGCAGAGUAUGAGGCUCUGUUGCACGGUCUUCGAAUGGCAGUCUCCAUGGGCAUUCAAUGUCUCGAAGUACGCGGGGAUUCAAACCUCGCAAUAUCUCAAAUAAAUGGAGACUUUGACGCCAAGGACCCAAAAAUGGCGGCUUACCGUAAUGCCAUUCUCAAAAUGUCAGCUCGAUUCGAGGGGCUCGAAUUCCACCAUGUGGUUCGAGAAAACAAUCAAGCGGCGGAUAUCCUUGCCCGCAUCGGCGCUAAACACGACCCCGCCACACCAAAUAUUUUUUUGGAAAGGCUGUUCAAGCCAUUCAUGGUAUGGGAAGGGGAGUCCGACAAUAGUAAUCCGGAUCCGCAUACAACCCCAGAUCCUGAACAAUCUGACGUAAUCAGAGGCUCCACCACCGAAAUCACACCUUCGGCCCUCGUGAUCAUGGCGGUCAUCGCCCCGUGGACGGAACCCUUUCUAGCUUACUUAAAUAGGCAGGAACUCCUAGAGGACCAAAAUGAGGCACGCUGCAUUGUGCGGCGCUCUAAAGCUUACAAAGUCCACGAGGAAGAGCUUUAUAAGAAAAGCGCAACAGGAGUGCUCCAAAGAUGCAUCUCCGAAGAGGAAGGGCGACAACUCUUGGCUGAAAUUCAUGCCGGACUCGGCGGCCACCAUGCCGCAGCUCGGGCGCUCGUAAGCAAGGCCUUUUGUACAGGUUUCUACUGGCCGACAGCCUGGGCAGACGCACAAGACCUUGUCCAACACUGCGUCGGUUGCCAGCUCUUUGCAAAUCAAAGCCAUAUGCCGCCCACUGCCCUCCAAACAAUCCCCAUAACCUGGCCCUUUGCGGUCUGGGGGCUCGAUAUGGUUGGACCCCUUAAAGGAGGAAGCCAUAAGAAGAAAUAAUUGUUGGUCAUGGUCGAUAAAUUCACCAAAUGGAUAGAAGCCAAACCAGUUAAAACAGCCGAAUCCGGAUCAGUGAUAGACUUUAUCUGGGGUCGUACACCGUUAUGGUGUCCCCCAUAGCAUCAUCACCGAUAACGGCUCAAACUUCACAGCCGAUGAGGUGAAAACCUGGUGCAGCAAAAUGGGCAUAAAACUUGAUUACGCCUCCGUCUAUCACCCCAAACAAACGGUCAAGUCGAACGGUCUUAUUAUGAGCGACAUCAAACCCAGACUAGUGCGAUCCUUGAAGGAAUCAGAUACGCACUGGGUCGAGAAGCUUGACUCCGUAUUAUGGGGACUGCGGAUCACACCGAAUCGCACAACCGGAUACACACCAUUUUUUAUGGUAUACGGCGCAGAGGCAGUGCUACCCUGUGACAUCAUCCAUGAUUCACCUAGAGUGCGCAUGUACGAAGAGAGAGAAGCCGAGCUGGAUUGGCAGGACAACUUAGAUGCCUUGGAGGAGGAGCGUGACAUAGCGAAGGCCCGUUCCGCAUUCUAUCAACAACAUGCUCGAAGGUAUCAAAGCAGAGUAGUGUGGGCCAAAACUUAUAAUAUUGGCGAACUCGUUCUACGCUUACCAGAGAAGAAAAAGGACAAGCUCAAGCCCAAAUGGGAGGGCCCCUUCAUCAUUGACAAAGUUCUCACUAGAGGUGCAUACCGUCUAUGGGAUGCAUUAGACAAUCGACUCGAGCCGAACCCAUGGAACGCAGCCAGACUCCCAAGAUUCUAUGCCUAGUGCCAAACUCCAUGUUUGCCUCCUUACCUCCGUCUUCCUUUUUUUUAAAAUUAUAUCCUCUCUCUCUCUCCCUUUUACAUUUAUAGCCUUAAAGGCUCUAAGUAUGCUUUAACCGCACACUCUGGCCGCGCUAUGCGUGCUCAUCACACCUGGGGGCUUCUUAUACAGAAGAUUAUUUGUCUUCUGGGCUUUAUGCCCACCACAUACGCGUCACCUCUAUGUAUGUGCCUUUUUUCACCACUAUAUGCAUCAAUAUGACUUAAGUUUUGGCCAAGCUGGGUUGCCUGGCUCUUGUGUUUAUGCCCUACAUUCCCGUUAAUUCGGCUAGGGCAUAAGGGGAACACCUCUGAGAUUGUUACUGCCAGGUCAGCCGGAUGUGUACCUCAGACUGGGUGAAGCCGAAAGCUAGCGUUCUUAAGGGAAUAUUUGGUCGGUGAACAAAAGAUUUAUUUUUACCUAUUACAACACAUGCCCCUAGAUGUUUCUAUCCUGCGUAAAUUUUCGCAGUUCGGACAUGCACAUCAAUGCAUGCACACCCAGGGAAAGGAACCCUUAAUGAAACUAUUCUCCCUAGAAGAUGUUUCUUACUACCCAUGUAAUAUAACAUAACUAGUUGGGUACUUGUCUGUUCAAGCACUUAUGACCCCUACGCCUGGUUUGCAUGCGUGCCCCGGUUUUCACGUAACUGAGCGGGUAUUCGGAUACACUCCGGACUGUCGGGUCCAGAGGUUGAAGCGAAAAGGUCGGCCAAGACAAAUGAUUUACAAUCCGGCUAGGGACAAAAUAUGUCCUUCGAAGUACAAUGUCACUUAGACUGACUAAAUUCUUCUUCUAUACCAUCCAACAGGCUGUCUAGCCUAUAGUCCUGUUGGGAAUACUUAGCGGCUAAUGCUACUUGGUCAUACACAAGAUGUACAUGGAUCUCCUUCCCAUCUGACCCUACAGGUCCGACCUUGGCCAUGUGGUUUGGGUCAGCCUUGGUGUAUCGUGUCUUCACCAUGGCCCAGGCUUCUCUUGCUCCUUGUCGGCAGGCUGAUAUCUUCCAUAAUCGGAAGCGCUGCCAAUCUCCCUUGAGCAUCUCCAUAAGCUCCCCCAUGCCUCCGGGUAGGGAGGCGGAUGGCCACAAGGCUUGGGCAAUGUCCCGCAUCACCUGCCGAACUUGUUCGUGCAGUUGUGAGAGCUCUGGUAGAAGAUCACCUGCAGAUUCAGGCAUCUCCUCUUCAGGACGACCAAUCAGCAUGCCUACAGACAAAAUUCUGUUAGCACACUUCUUCGCCGAACUUUAUAGUGGUUCGUCAGAGCACUCACUGAAUAUGCCGCGUCGAAGCAUCUUAUUCUCCUUUACGGAGUCAGCAAGCUGGGCCCGAACAUCCUUUAAUUCGACGUCCAGUCGGACGUUCGCGUCUUGGAGAGUAUUUUUCUCCUUUAUAACCUUGGUAAGCACAUGCUGGCCAGCCUUCAGCUAUCACUGAACAUGCUGCUCAUCCUCUGGUACGAUCUCUGAAUUGCCUCCGGGAUUGUCUGCCAGUUCUCUUGUUAGAAUUGCAUUCUUGCCGAAUACUUAACUGGUAUAUACCAUGACAUUAUGCAAAUAUUACCGGAUGGGGCCUUCGUAGACUCCUCCAUCAUGGUGGUUGCGGCCCGUAGUUGGGCCUUGCACUCUUCCAGCUCUUUGGAUAGCUAGGUAUUCUUCUCUGUCAGAACCUAAGCACACAUGGAUCCUUAAAUCAGUUAUGGCAACUGUUUCAAGUCUCAAGGGCUACUGAUAUACAUACUUAUCAAAUUUUCUUACCUGUAUAUCCUUUACGUACAGGUCUGUGGCCCUGGCGAGGCCACCUCGAGCAGCCCGGAUGUACGCGUCCCCUGAGUUGAAAGCAUCAAAUGCCUCUUCAAAGAAAUUAGGGUCGCGUAGGGCGGCCCCUUGGCGCCUAUGAUUUAUGGCACUCUCCACUUCGGAGUUUGUAGCGGAAAAUCUAUCCGCAUCCUCUGUAGGAGGAUCGUCCGUGUUGACCUCCGCCCUUGAAUCCGGCCUCGGAGUUCGGCUGGUGGAAGCGUGACCGAAAGGCUCUCCGGAUACAGUCUGGCAAGCGCUCUUUCUGUCAGAAGGCAGAAGACAUCGUUAUAUUUUAACAAUGAUAACUUCAUGGCAGGUUUUUAAACAUACCUUUGCAACGGCAUCUCGGUCCUGACCGCCUUUCUUUUAAGCCUUCCCGACUUCGGUGCCCUGUCUUGGCGAGUCACCUCGGGUUCCGCUUGGCGCCCCGAUGGCCUUCCCUGUAAGACGCAAUACAGUGCGGUGGGUGAAGUGUAAGGAGGGAACCCUAUUCGGAAGUUGGGACUGUGGCUUUGCUUACCUGGGAUACAUGGAGUAAGCCAGGAUAAUCGGCUAUAAUGGCCACCAUCACACCAUCGCAGCUCAACUGGUAAAAUGUUCUGUCGACGAGCUCCACAAACGUGUCUGGAUCUUCUUCGAGUUUGGGGUUGAGAGCCUGGUCAGGGUCCUCUGGCUGUGGAGAUGGGCUGUGAACAUCCUUCAUAGCCCUUCACAGUUCUUGCUAUGAACAGACGAAUUAAAACAUCUGUGCUAAAAAUAAGGGAAAGAUUGGAAUAAAAGAUAGCGACUCACCCAGCUUGGAGGGUUGUACAUGGAGAAUCCAUCCCGUGGCUUGAUAUGGAUGAACUCCUCCUCUUCUCCUUUGAACAAAUCGGACAGUAUCUUCGCCAGAGCGGCGGGAGAGUCCGAUCCUUUACAGCCGCAAUGGGUGGCAUCAUCUUCUCCAUUGAAGUGCCACAUGGGUUUUCCCCGAUAUUGAAGUGGCUGCACUCCCCGCAUUAUGCCUAUGGACAUAACUUCAAUUAUUGUCAGCCCUGAUUUGGCCAGUGUAUUUAUCCUGUCCAUCAGGAAAAGGAUCUCUUUGUUAUCUUCCUCCUCGGGGCUCCUAGGGCGCCAGCUGUGGCGUUUCUUCAAUGGGGCAUCUACAAACUUGGGAAGGCCCUUCCAAACAGGGUCCAGAAGAGGGACGUCCUCCACGUAGAACCAUUCUAAGGGCCAGACCUCGGAUGUCUUCUUUGGGGUGCCGGAUAGAUAUCCGGUCCUGGCGAUGCGGCAUAUUUCGGCUCCGCCCACUUGAAAUACCGACCCCUUCUGGGUACGGGGUACUAGGCAGAAUAGCCUCUUCCACAGCUCGAAAUGAGCUUUGCAGCCCAGAAAAAGUUCAUAGAAGGCAACGUAGCCUGCGAUAUGCAGUAUGGAGGCUGGGGUAAAGUUGUGCAGCUGGAGGCCGUAAAACUCCAGGAGCCCGCGGAAGAAAGGAUGAAUUGGAAAUCCGAGCCCCCUCAGUAAGUAGGGGACGAAGCACACCCUCUUUCCCUUGGAUGGGUUUGGAAAGCUCUCCGCUUUCUCCCCGCCAUUAUAAGUGGCUAGUCCAGCUCGGACAGGGACCAUGUAUGCAGGUGGGAGAAACCCCUUGGUCUGCAACUCUACUAGUCGGCUGUGGGGAACAGAACAUCUCUCCCAAUCGCCUGGCUUACUGCUACGGGAACGAGAGGAGGAACCGCGACGACCGGCCAUGGUGGUAUGGAUUUGUCCGGGCAUGCUCUGAUGGACACUCGAUGGGAGGAGAUGGUGUGAUUUGGAUCUGAGAAUCCCCAUCUCUUUUAUAGAUGGUCUACCCGUACGGUUGGGGUGGCAAAUGUAAAAAUGCCCCGACUUCUCACAUUCGCUCGACAUGUGGAAACAACCAUUAUUAAAGCGCAUGAGUUGAGGAGCGCGACAUUGAUGGGGAGCCGGACACUGCUCAUUACAACAAUGCUCUAGAGGAUUUGGAGAAGAACCCGCUUUGCAAUGUCGAAGACAAUCUGCGCGCCGGACUCAUCGUCAUUGAAGCUUGGUUCGGGGGCUACUGAGGGAGUCCUGGAUUAAGGGGUCCUCGGACAGCCGGACUAUAUACUUUGGUCGGACUGUUGGACUAUGAAGAUACAAGAUUGAAGACUUUGUCUCGUGUCCGGAUGGGACUCUCCUUUGUGUGGAAGGCAAGCUUGGAUAUUCUGAUGUGUAGAUUUCCUUCUCUGUAACCGACUCUGUGUAACCCUAGCUCCCUCCGGUGUCUAUAUAAACCAGAGGGUUUAGUCCAUAGGACAAGAACAGUCAUAAUCAUAGGCUAGCUUCUAGGGUUUAGCCUCUACGAUCUCGUGGUAGAUCAACUCUUGUAAUACUCAUAUCAUCAAGAUCAAUCAAGCAGGAAGUAGGGUAUUACCUCUAUCGAGAGGGCCCGAACCUGGGUAAACAUCGUGUUCCCUACCUCCUGUUACUAUUAGCCUUAGACACACAGUUUGGGACCCCCUACCCGAGAUCCGCCGAUUUUGACACCGACAACGGUCACACGACGCCGUUCCAUUCCUCACCGCCAGUAGUCGUGGAGGACGCGUCGGUGUUCCACUCCUCACCGCGACGCGUCGAGGUGGACGCAUUGGUGUUCCCAAUCUCGCCAGCACGCAUGUCGAAGGACGCGUCGGCUCCCCUCUACGAGGAGAACGCCGCUGUCGGUGUUAAAAUCGGCGGAUGUCGGGUAGGGGGUCCCGAACUGUGCGUCUAAGGCUAAUGGUAACAGGAGGAAGGGGACACGAUGUUUUACCCAGGUUCGGGCCCUCUCGAUAGAGGUAAUACCCUACUUCCUGCUUGAUUGAUCUUGAUGAUAUGAGUAUUACAAGAGUUGAUCUACCACGAGAUCAUAGAGGCUAAACCCUAGAAGCUAGCCUAUGAUUAUGAUUGUUGUUGUCCUACGGACUAAACCCUCCGGUUUAUAUAGACACCGGAGGGGGCUAGGGGUACACAAAGUCGAUUAUAGAGAAGGAAAUCUUCAUAUCCGAAUAUCCAAGCUUGCCUUCCACGCAAAGGAGAGUCCCAUCCGGACACAUGACGCAAUCUUCAAUAUUGUAUCUUCAUAGUCCAACAGUCCGGUCAAAGUAUAUAGUCCGGCUGUCCGAGGACCCCUUAAUCCAGGACUCCCUCAGUAGCCCCCGAACCAGGCUUCAAUGACGAUGAGUCCAGCGCGAAGAUUGUCUUCGGCAUUGCAAGGCGGGUUCUUCUCCAAAUCCUCCAGAGCAUUGUUGUAAUGAGCAGUGUCUGGCUCCCCAUCAAUGUCGCGCUCCUCGACUCCUGCACUUUAAUAAUGGCUGUUUCCAUGUGUCGAGCGAAUGUGAGAAGUCGGGGCAUUUUUACAUUCGCCACCCCAACCAUGCGGGUAAAUCAUCUAUAAAAGAGACGGGGAUUCUCAGAUCCAAAUCACACUAUCUCCUCCCGGCGAGUAUUCAUCAGAGCGCGCCCGGACAAAUCCAUACCACCAUGGUCGGUCGUCACGGUUCCUCCUCUCGCUCCUGUAGCACUAGGCCAGGAGAUUGGGAGAGAUGUUCUGUUCCCCACAGCCGACUAGUAGAGUUGCAGACCAAGGGGUUUCUCCCACCUACAUACAUGGUCCCCGUCCGAGCUGGACUAGCCACUUAUAAUGGCGGGGAGCAAGCGGAGAGCUUUCCAAACCCAUCCAAGGAAGAGCGGGUAUGAUUCGUCCCCUACUUGCUGAGGGGCUCGUAUUUCCAAUCCAUCCUUUCCUCAACGCGCUCCUGGAGUUCUACGGCCUCCAGCUGCAUAACUUUACCCCAGCCCCCAUACUGCAUAUCGUAGGCUACGUUGCCUUCUGCGAGCUUUUUCUGGGCUGUGAAGCUCAUUUCGAGCCGUGGAAGAGGCUAUUCUGCCUCGUACCCCGUAUUCAGGAGGGGUCGGUAUAUCAAGUGGGCGGAGCCGAAAUAUGGCGCAUCGCCGGGACCGGAUAUCUAUCCGGCACCCCGAACAAGACAUCCGAGGACUAGCCCUCGGAAUGGUUCUACAUGGAGGACGUCCCUCUUCUGGAUCCUGUUCGGAAGGGCCUUCCCGAGUUUGUAGAUGCCCCGUUGAAGAAACACCACAUCUGGCGCCCCAGGAGCCCCCAGGAGGAAGAUAACAGAUAGAUCCUUUUCAUGAUGGACAUGAUAAAUACACUGGCCAAAUCAGGACUGACAAUAAUUGAAGUUAUGUCCAUAUGUAUAAUGCAGGGAGUGCAGCCACUUCAAUAUUGGGGAAAACCCAUGUGGCACUUCAAUGGAGAAGACGAUGCCACCCGCUGCGGCCGUAAAGGUCCGAAUUCUCCCAUCGCUCUAGCGAAGAUACUGUCCGAUUUGUGCAAAGGAGAAGAGGAGGAGUUCAUCCAUAUCAAGCCACGGGAUGGAUUCUCCAUGUACAACCCCCCAAGCUGGGUGAGUCGCUAUCUUUUAUUCCAAUCUUUCCCACAUUUUUAGCACAGAUGUUUAAUUCGUCAAUUCAUAGCAGGAACUGCGAAGGACUAUGAAGGAUGUUCACAACCCAUCUCCACAGCCAGAGGACCCUAACCGGGCUCUCGACCCUGGACUCGAAGAAGAUCAGGACACGUUUGUGGAGCUUGUUGACAGGACAUUUUACCACUUGAGCUGCGAUGGUGUGAUGGUGGCCAUUAUAGCCGAUUAUCCUGGCCUACUCCCUGUAUCCCAGGUAAGUAAAGCCAGAGUCGCAACUUCCAAAAUGAUUCCCUCUUUACACUUCACCCACCGCACAUGUAUUGCGUCUUACAAGGAAGGCCAUCGGGGCACCAAGCUGAACCCGCAGUGACUCGCCAACAAGGGGCACCAAAGUCGGGUAGGCUUAAAAGGAAGGCGGUCAGGACCAAGACACCGUUGCAAAGGUAUGUUUAAAACCCUGCCAUGAAUUUAUCAUUGUUAAAAUAUAACAAUGUCCACUGCCUUCUGACAGAAAGAGCGCCUGCCGGACUGUAUCCGGAGAGCCUGCCGGUCACGCUUCCACUAGCCAGACUCUGAGGCCGGACUCAAGGGCGGAGGUCAACACGGACGAUCCUCCUACAGAGGAUGCGGAUAGAUUUUCCGCUACAAACUCCGAAGUGGAGAGCGCCAUAAAUCAUUGGCGCUGAUGGGCCACACUAGGCGACCCUAAUUUCUUUGAAGAGGCGUUCGAUGCCUUCAACUCAGGGGACACGUACAUCUGGGCUGCUCAAGGUGGCCUCGCCAGGGCCACGGACCAGUACGUAAAGGAUAUACGGGUAAGAAAAUAUGAUAAGUAUGUAUAUCAGUAGCUCCUGAGACUUGAAACAGUUGGAACAACUGAUUUAAGGAUCCUCGUGUGCAUAGGUUCUGAAAGAGAAGAAUACCCAUCUAUCCAAAGAGCUGGAUGAUAAUCCCCAAGUGCAGGGAAUCAUCAUAGCAAUUCCCAAAGGUGGAAGUGAUAAGUAUGGAGUCUUGAACCCACAAGGAGCUAAAGGUAAGAUCAAUAUUCUCUCAAGCCCUAUCUGCCACUGAUACGACUCUACGUGCACCGAGCGUUUGCUUCCAACUAGAAAUAAGAAAUAAAACUGUGUUGUGGGUAUAAAGAGGAUAACUUUGCAUGAUAUCGGAGAGCUAAAAUAUGAAAAUAGGUGAUGUUAUCAUGAAGUUAGAAUAUAUUACUAAAUAUUAUAAAUAGCGAGUGUGGAAUAAUGGUGGAUCGGUGUGCGGAAUUGUCCUAGGCAAUUGUUAACAAGACCGAUAGUCGUCAUUGCAAUUUCAUAUGAGGGAGAGGCAUAAGCUAACAUACUUUCUCUACUUGGAUCAUAUGCACUUAUGAUUGGAACUCUAGCAAGCAUCCGCAACUACUAAAGAUCAUUAAGGUAAAACCCAACCAUAGCAUUAAAGCAUCAAGUCCUCUUUAUUCCAAUACGCAACAACCCCCUUACUCGGGUUUGUGUUUCAGUCACUCACCAACCCACUAUAAGCGAAUCAUCAACGUAUUGCAACACCCUACAGCGGAAUCCCUCACGCUUGCGCUACAUGGAGGGCACCAUAGGACAUCACCAAAAUAAAACAUACAACUCGUACCAAUCUAGACCAUCAAUCAACCCAAGGACAAAAGAUAUCUACUCAAAACAUCAUAGGAUGGCAACACAUCAUUGAAUCAUAAUAUGUGGCAUAAAGCACCAUGUUCAAGUAGGGAUUACAGUGGGGUGCGGGAGAGUGGACUGCAUAAAAGAGAUGAGGAUGUUGAUGAUGAUGGUGAUAUUGAUGAAGAUGAUCACCACGAUGAUGAUUCCCCUCCCGAUGGCACUCCGGUGCCACCAAGAGAGAGGAGGAGAGGUUCUCCCCCUUGUGCUUCCUCCUCCAUGGCUUUCCUCCUCUGGUCCUUGGCCUUCACGGCGAUGAGGGCCCCUCCGAGAUCCUCCUCCAUGGCCUCCGAUGAUGAUGGCCCUCUCCGGGAGGGUGCCGGAGAGGGCCUAGAUUGAUUUCUCGUGGCUACAGAGUGAAAGCACAAGUGCUCCCUUGGUGGUUUUGGUAAUUAAUGUCAACAUAUCUCUUGUUGGACUAACACUUUUAUCUAGUAUGUUUCAGAUAAGUUCAACAAUGGAGUGGCAUGGACUAAAGGAUGUGGGAACUCCUUCAAGAUGCUAAGGACAAAGGAUUGGCUCAAGCUUCAAGCUCAAGACUCUUCAUUUUAUAUUUUAGUGAUCCAAGAUAACAUUGAGUCUAUAGGAAAGGCCAAUACUACCAAGAAGGGAUGAGGUGUUGCUUAAUGAGUUUCUUGCUCCAUAGUGCUUAGUGAUAUGCUCCAAAACCCUCAACUACUUUCCCACUUCCACACAUAUGACCUAAACCUAAAGUCAAACUCGGCCAUACCGAUUCUUUCUAUCCGGCGCCACCGAGUUCAGAUGUCAUAACCACUGGCACAAACCCUAGGCAAAUCGGUCUCACCGAUAGGGAUCUCGGUUUCACCGAGAUGGGAUUGUAAUCUCUCUGUGUAUGUACAUUACCAAAAUCGGUCACACCGAAUGUGAGCAAUCGGUACUACCGAGAUUACAAUGCAAACUUACUGGUUGACUCAUUACCAAAAUCGGUCCUACCGAGUUUGUGUAAUCGGUCCAACCGAGUUUGCCUGACCAACUCUCUGGUUAGCUAAUUACCAAAACUGGUCUCACCGAGUUUGUGUAACCGGUCUCACUGAGAUUACGUUAUGCCCUAACCCUAACCAUAUCGGUCCUACCGAGUUGCAUGUCGGUCCCACCGAAAAUCCUAACGGUCACUAGGUUUACUAAAUCAGUUCGACCGAGUUUGUUGAUUCGGUCCCACCGAGUUUGGUAAAUUGUGUGUAAUGGUUAGAUUUUGUGUGGAGGCUAUAUAUACCCCUCCACAUCCUCUUCAUUCGUGGAGAGAGCCAUCAGACUGAACCUACACUUCCAGCAUACAUUUUCUGAGAGAGAACUACCUACUCAUGUGUUGAGGCCAAGAUAUUCCAUUCCUACCAUAUGACUUCGAUCUUGAUGAUGCAAUGAGACACUUUGGUCUUAUGGCAAAUCUUAGGGGAUAUAUGUCAGGAGGAAAGGAAUGGGUUCUUGAUAGUGGAUGUACCGAUCACAUGACCGGAUAUAAAGACAUGUUUCAUGAGCUUGUUGAAAAUGAUAGUCCUCGAAAGUAUGUCACUUUCGGUGACAACUCAAAGGGUAAGGUGGUUGGUCUCGGUAAGGUGGCCAUAUCACAUGAUAGCUCCAUACAAAAUGUCAUGCUCGUUGAAUCUCUUGGCUACAACUUACUUUCAGUAUCUAGACUUGCUGAUUUCGGUUUCAACGUCCUAUUUACUGAAAUAGAUUGGCAAGUGUUUCGUCGAGACAAUCAUAAAAUGGUCUUUACCGGUGUGCGUAGAGGUGAUCUAUACAUUGUUGAUUUCACUAAAAAGGCUCAACCUAAAACUUGCUUCAUUGCUAAAUCCUCAAAAGGUUGGUUAUGGCAUAGACGACUAGGUCAUGUUGGUAUGCGAAACCUUGACAAGCUUAUUAAAGGAAAUCAUAUCCUUGGUGUUCACGAUGUCAUAUUUGAUAAGGAUAGACUUUGCAGCGCUUGUCAAGCAGGUAAACAGGUUGGAGGAAGGCAUCCCGUGAAGAACAUCAUGACCACAAGGAGGCCACUCGAGCUACUUCACAUGGAUCUCUUUGGUCCCUAUGCCUACAAGAGUCUCGGUGGAAAUUCUUUUGGUCUAGUUAUAGUAGAUGAUUUUUCAAGAUUUACAUGGGUGUUAUUUCUCGAUGAUAAAUCGCAGGUCCAAAAGAUCUUCAAAAACUUCGCUAGGAAGGCCCAAAAUCAAUUUGAAGUGAAGAUCAAGAAGGUUCGCAGCGACAACGUAACGGAGUUCAAGAACGCAAAUGUGGACACCUUUCUUGACGAAGAAGGGAUUUCACACGAGUUCUCAGCUACGUACACACCUCAACAAAAUGGAGUUGUUGAGAGGAAGAACCGGACUCUCAUCGAAAUGGCGAGAACAAUGCUUGAUGAGUACAAGACGCCGAAGCACUUUUGGGCAGAAGCGGUUGAGACAGCUUGUCAUGUAACAAAUCGCUCGUAUCUUCACAAGCUACUCGACAAGACGGCAUACGAGCUCCUCACCGAUAUUAAACCACAAGUUGGAUACUUUCGAGUAUUCGGCUCAAAGUGCUACAUUCUUGAUAAGCAUCGUCGUUCUAAAUUUUCUCCUAAGUCUCAUGAAGGUUUCCUACUAGGUUAUGGCUCAAACUCUCACACUUACCGUGUCUACAACAAUUUCACCCGAAAGGUUGAAGAGACGGUAGAUGUGAAGUUUCAUGAAUGUAACGGCUCGCAAGUAGAGCAAUUGCCGAUUGAUGUAGGAGACAAAGAUCCUUCGGAAGCAAUCCAAGACUUUUCCAUUGGCAAUGUCCGUCCAACGGAGGUGAAGGAGAGUACCUCGUCCGUCCAAGUGGAAGCUUCUACUUCACGACAAGGUGAACCAAGAGUCGAUACGGAAGCAUCCACAAGUGGGACACACCAAGAUGAAGAAAACGAGGAAGUGCAUCAAGAUGAACGUCAACAACCUCCUUCUCCACCACGACAAGAGAACGACAACGCCAACAAUGAAGAAGGCCAAGAAGAAGAACAAGAUGAAGAAGAAGUUCAACCAAGAACCAAGCAAAAGCUUUCACGAGUUCGAGCAAGUAUUGCUAAAGAUCAUCCCGUCGAGCAAAUCUACAAUGAUAUUCAAACUGGGAGAAUCACUCGCUCUAAAACUCGUUUAGCUAACUUUUGUGAAAACUAUUCUUUCAUCUCUAGCAUUGAACCUAUGAAGAUCGAAGAAGCAUUGGAAGAUCCGGAUUGGAUAAAUGCUAUGCAUGAAGAACUACACAACUUUGAGAGGAACCAAGUUUGGACAUUGGUUGAGAAGCCCGACAACAACCACAACAUCAUCGGUACCAAAUGGGUGUUUCGCAAUAAGCAAGAUGAAGAUGGACAAGUAGUUCGCAACAAAGCACGUCUCGUCGCCCAAGGCUACACACAAGUUGAAGGUAUGGACUAUGGUGAGACUUACGCUCCCGUUGCUAGACUUGAGUCCAUUCGCAUCUUACUUGUCUAUGCUAAUCACCAUGAUAUCACCUUGUACCAAAUGGAGAUUAAAAGUGCUUUUCUAAAUGGUGAAAUAGAGGAGGAAGUUUAUGUUAAGCAACCUCCCGGCUUUGUCAAUCCUAAGAAACCACAUCAUGUUUACAAACUUCACAAAGCCCUUUAUGGUCUUAAACAAGCUCCUAGAGCAUGGUAUAAAUGCUUGACCAAGUUCCUUAUUGAAAAAGGCUUUGAAAUUGGGAAAAUUGAUUCCACACUUUUUACUAAAAGGGUUAAUGGAGAACUAUUUGUGUGCCAAAUCUAUGUUGAUGAUAUUAUAUUUGGUUCAACUAACCCUCAUUUUAGUGAAAAGUUUGGGAAGCUAAUGUUGGAGAAGUUUGAGAUGUCUAUGAUGAGUGAACUCAAAUUCUUUCUUGGGUUGCAAAUCAAGCAAACUAAGGAAGGUACUUUUGUUUCUCAAACGAAGUACACCAAGGACUUAUUCAAGAAGUUCAAUAUGCAAGAAUGCAAAGGUAUGUCUACACCCAUGCCUACUAGUGGACAUCUUGACUUGACCAAAGAUGGUGAACCGGUUGAUCAAAAGGUUUAUCGCUCUAUGAUUGGUUCAUUGUUAUAUCUAUGUGCUUCACGCCCCGAUAUCAUGCUAAGUGUGUGCAUGUGUGCACGAGAUCAAGCUGCUCCUAAAGAAUGUCAUCUUAAGGCCGUGAAAAGGAUAGUGAGAUACUUAAUCCAUACACCAAAUUUUGGCAUUUGGUAUCCUAAGAGGGCCUCUUUCGAUCUUGUUGGCUACUCUGACUCGGACUAUGCCGGAGACAAGGUUGAUAGAAAGUCCACUUCGGGUACUUGUCAAUUUCUUGGUAGAUCUCUUGUGUCUUGGUCCUCCAAGAAACAAAACUCGGUAUCCUUAUCCACCGCCGAAGCGGAAUACAUUGCCGCUGGUUCAUGUUGUGCUCAAUUACUUUGGAUGACCCAAACUCUUAAAGAUUAUGGGAUAUAUGUGAAACAUGUUCCAUUGCUUUGUGACAAUGAAAGUGCUAUCAAAAUUGGUCAUAAUCUUGUACAACAUUCUCGAACUAAGCAUAUUGAAGUUCGUCAUCAUUUCAUUCGAGAUCAUGUUGCUAAGGGUGACAUUAAUCUUAAGCAUGUUCGCACCAAAAAGCAAUUAGCGGAUAUAUUCACUAAACCUCUUGAUGAGAAAGUGUUUUGCAGGUUAAGAGGAGAAUUGAACAUCAUAGAUGCUUCAAACUUGGAGUAGAAACUCCAUUGGACACAUGCAAGACAUGAGCUUAUGACUAAUCCUUGAUAUUUCUCUUAUGAUGAAGAUCUUAUGUCUUGGAUAUAUUUGCAUCUUGCAUGUUAUAUAACCCAUGUAGGUACUUGGUUGAAUCAAAUUCCAUGAGAUUGAAAUCUACUCACAUCUUGAGCAAUCUCUACAUCACCAAGUCUCUACACUAUGGUGGUUGAAGACAAGGAAGCACGGAACCAUUCGAACAUAUCCUUUGACAAAUUCUAUGUUGAGCUUCAUGAUUGUCAUUUUUGGAUACACAAGUGCUCUUCCUUGAAAGAACUAACCCAUGUAGGUAGAUGGACUCAAAUUCCAAGUGGUGCUCCCAACUCUUGAUGAGCUACAUCAACCUUGAGCAACCAACACAAGUUCAACUACAUGGACAACACCACCAACCAAGGUAUGUUAUUCCAUCUUAGAAAAGCUUUACUCCAAGACAUGAGUUAAAGCAACUCGACAAGAUGAGAAUACACCAAGAUGCUUAAAAAAAUGACAACCCCAUUUUGAUCUUAAACGAUGAGUAUGACCUAUGAUCAAGUGAUCUCACUUGACUCCUAAGUCAAUAUACUCUAACAUAGGUAACUUUGUCGCCGACCAUCUCUAGAUGAAGUUCUCAUGUGUUCUUUUCUGAGUUUUAACAUUUGUCUCAUGCAUAUUUGUUUCCCCUUACAAAACAAAAAAAAC